rnacentral:lncRNA from 1 species
UUUGAAAACUACCUCUCACAAACCACUAGAAAGCCACUUCCUUGUGGGUCAAUCUUGUUAAUUAGGAUGCAAUGGUUGAGAACCCCUCCACAAAUUACUGAUAAUAACCCACAAGGCCUAAGAAAUUCCAAAUUUCAAUAACUAAAAAAAGUUUGAUCUAAUCUCAAAUUGUCUCAAUCAUCUUAGGAUCCACCAUAAUACCCUCUUUGGACACUACAUGUCCCAAGAAUGCUAACUAACUAAGACAAAACUCACACUUUAAAAACUUCGCAUAGAGCUUCUUCUCCUUCAUAAUUUUAAGCACAAUCCUCAAUGAUGCUCGUGCUCUUCCUACUACAAGAAUAUAUCAAUAUAUCAUCUAUGAAGACAAUAACAAAGGAUUCCAAGUACGAUCUUAACACCCCAUUCAUCAAGUCCAUAAAAGCUAUUGGGGCAUUAGCCAACCCAAAAUCCAUCACCAAAAACUCAUAAUAGCCAUAAUAUGUCCGAGAAGAUGUCUGAGGAAUCUCCUCCACCCUAAUCUGUUCAACUGUCGUUAGUCAAUACAAAUAGACAUAUAUCCAUAUUUAUUCUUCACAAAUAACACUAGAGCACCCCAAGAAGAUAUACUCAUCCUAAUGAACCCCUUUCUCAAUAGAUCAUGCAACUUCUCAUUCAACUCUUUCAAUUUGGCUGGUGCCAUACGAUAUGCCAAAAUAGAAAUAGGCUAAGGGUCUGGCUUCAAAUCGAUACAAAAAAAUCAAUAUCACGAUCAGGUAGAAGACCUGAUAGGUCUGUCGGAAGUAUCUCUGAAAACCAUGCACAAUCAGAAUAGACUCAAGCAUAGGAGUCUCCACACUAAUGUCUCGAAUAUGUUCUAAGUGAGUGAAACAUCCUUACUCCACUAAGAGAUCAGCCUUAAUAAAUGAUAUCACCCUUUUUGAACUGUGACCAAUAAAAUCUCUCCACUUUACUAUAGGAAUACCAGGCAUAGCUAAUGUAAUUGUCUUAGCCUAACAAUUCAAAAUUGCAUGAUAAGAAGAUAACCAAUUCAGAAUAACAUAAAAAAUCCAUCACAUAUAAGUCUUUUAAAUCUACUCGAGUAUAAUGUCUCAUCAAAGUAACUACACAUGAUCGAUAUAUUUAAUCUACCACUAUGAAAUCUCCAACAAUAGUAGAAAUAUGUAAAUGCAAAUAAAAUGACUCACAUACCAUAUUCAACUCAAAUGACGGACCCUCUUACCCUCAUGUUGCUCAAAUCCCUCACAUCAAAAUCAUGUCUAACUCUUUGGCAACAUCUACAACUUUCUCUGAUGGAACACCACAAGUGGAAACCUAAGAAACUCUUAUACAAAUAGGAAAAUCAACUCUUUAUACCAAUAUUCUCACUCUCUCCCCUUCAGUAGAAAGUAUUAUCGAAGCGUGCCUAGCCAAGGUAUAGAAUUGAACCUCAUAUUCAGUGACUGAAAUACCCUCAUGUUGUAAGCCAUCAAACUCGACCCUCUUGCGCUCCCCCUCACUGUGUGGUACAAAUUAUUUUCUAAAAACACGUGAGUAAACUGAGUCCAUGAAAGUGGAAAUGAUCUAGUUGACCUACUAUUAACGUAAUCUCUUCACCAUUGCUUGACAUGGCCAAUCAUCUGAAACAUAGUGUAGUAAACUUCAUAGGACUCCACAAAUCCAAGAUUAUGCAAUCUCUUAUGAAAACGGUCUAUAAAUUCAUACAUAUUCUCAUUGAAGUUACCGGUAUAAGUCGUAAAAUUCAUCUUCCUAACCCUUUCAAUCAAUUUUUACUCACCAACAAUCAUGACAGACCUAUUAGCCCAAAAUGAUACAACCUAACCUCUACCUAGACCUCGUUCCCUAUAUCUACCUUUUGCAAUAACCCUAGCAGUGGGUGUGGGUGCAAGCUCUCAAUCUUUGAUCGUUGAUGCAUGAGUCCUUCCUAAUUAUGAGAGAAUGGGACAACAAGAUUAUAAUUCCAUCAAAGUCAAGUGCGCACGAUAAGGAAGGAAAGAAUAGAAAUUUCUUAAAUGUCCUAUAGCCUCUCGAAGAUAAGUAUGAACAUUAUCAUACUGACCCGCAAGACUCUAUUAGACAUUGCUCUUGUACUCGUGAGACCGUUAAACCUAGAGCUCAGAUAUUGAAUUGUCAUGACCCAAAUUUCACAUAUCAUGAUGGCACUUAUGUUCCCAACUGAUAGGUAAGCCAACCCAAGAGUUUUACCAAUUCAACAAAAUAAAUAAGGUGAAAUGAUAAACGACAAGUAGAAUAUCUCAAACACUAAGUCUUUCACAAGUAUGAAAUGUAGAAAGCUAAAAUACCACCCAAAAUUUUAGUAUCAUAAGUACAAGAGCUUCUAAAAUACGGUGCAAGUCUGAAACUAAAUAACAAACCUAAAUGUAAGAAAUAUCAUGUCUGAAGACGAAAAUAACAGAAUAAAUAACAAGAUAGAGGGAGGUGUGGGUUGCAGAACAGCCAAGCAGCUCACCAUAAUUCUAAGAUAAUCCAAGCUCGAACUUAGAAUGCUCCACAAAAUGUGCUCGUAUCCGAAAUUGGAUCUUCACCACAAAAAAAGGUAUAACAAGUGUAAUAUGAGUAUGAAACCACGUUUACCUAGUAUGUAUCAUAGAUUGGCAGUAAAAAGUAGUGACAUGAGUACAAUAAGAAAAUCAUCCUUUUACUUAUACAAAUCUACAUUAUAGUUAUCAAUCAAUUUUCAUCAAAUAGGGGUAAUCAAAUAUCACGCAAAGUCCAACCACCAAUAAAACAAUAAUCAACAAGAAUGAAGGAUGUAAUGAGAUGCGAUGCAAUGUGACACCAUAAAAUGAUAUGACUCGGGUGCCAAGUAUUUCUCAAUCGUAUAUACAAGAUACUUCUCGAAAAUACAUCAAGAAUUCAUGACCCAUGGGGGACUUACGAGUUCCAUAUACCUACAUGCAUGAUUUUCACGUGUCUGUGCGGUCAAUCUUAACACACUAUCAUAAAAUCAAACAAUCCUACCACGGACGAUCUCGACAUGUUUGUGAGGACGAUCUCAAUGAACUAUCAUUAAAUCAAAUAAUCCCUGCAUGGACGAUCUCCACGUGCCCAACUUAUACUCAAUCUUAUGUCAAUGCAUGUGCACAAUAUGAUUUCAAUCAAAAGGAAUGAUGAUGCCACUCAAUCAAUCAAUUAUAGGUAUGAUAUAUAAUCACCUCAACUAUUACAAAUAUAUGGGUUCAAUAAAGAAAUGCAAUCACACACAAAAAAAAAAUCAAUUUAAUAAUACAUCAGCUAAUGCCUACAUGCUUUGGCAUUCUUAGAUUACAACCCUCAUUCUAUAGUAAUAAAUUUUUCCUUUAUAACACUGGUACUCGUACCAAUGCUCGUCACAUUAUUGGUACGAGAUCCCCAUCUUUCGUCCUUACCCAUUGUCUAUUCCAUUUUUAAACUUUAAUUAGGAAAACAUCCUUCAACGAAGUCUUAAAGUCUUAACAUACCUUAAAUGUCAAAGACGUGUCACAAAUCCUCACGAUUUUACUUUUUCUUUUUGUAAGGCUUUAAAAUGUUCCCAAUCUGUCAAAUAUGUAAUUCUCAUAAGCAAACAAGUUUGUAGACACCAAUAUUAAUAUAAUCAAUUUUCUAGACCUCAAGCUUAGGGUAAAGUCUUAGUUCCUCCAAAUAACAUAACUUUAAUGGUGUUCAUGUAAUACAAUACACCUAAUAUUUAAUUACAUAUCCCACUAUAUCAAAACUAAACUUAUAAUAUGAUAAACAUUUGAUAUUAAAUGAAAUUGAACCGAUGGCAGCAUGAACCAAAGCUCUUCUUACAUUUAAACCCAAAAUUAUAUGUCAUCCAAUGAUGAGAUCAUCAUCACCCAUAAUGGCCCUAACUUCCUCCUUAGCUCGACAAUAACCAAAAGAACAAGAUUUUCCCACCUUUUUGUCAGACCCCAAUGACAACAUUAUUCAUCAAUAUAUAAUAAUAAUAAUUUUAUGCUCAUAUACAUCCUAGAAUAGAAAAACUACAUCAAAACUUAGCGGCAUAAGUAAUGUAUCUUAUACCUGAAACUUAAGCAUGAGUUUUUCUUCUCAUGUUCAUUCGCACGGUAAGUUUCUACCUCCUUCUCUUUUCUUUUCUAAAAUAAUAGUUUAUUUAAAGUGACAAACUCCACUAACCUAUUAUAAUUUUAUGGACAAGUGGUAAAGGGUAUUAAAUAAGUUAAGAACUUGGGCCAUUAACUAUCAACUAUAUUAAUUAUUUAAUAAUAUUCGUCAAAUAAAUACUUGUAGUUAAAAAAAAUAGUUCAAACUUCCCAUUUAAAAUUUAUGGGAAGAGUCGUUUAUGCUAUAAAUAGGUCUAGUGCUCAAAACAAUCUAACGAGCCACUACAUUAUCAAAAGAGUAGAAAAAGACCUAAUUAACCAUGAGAAUAAAUGUCAGACAACUUCUACGAUCAUAUGUACGCUCUAUACAUCCUUCUACCGACCGUACUUGACGUCCAACAAACUUUUACUGGAAACUCACUUUCUGAACUCAAACCACGAGCCUUCAAUCUUUCAACGAGCCGUAAAACACUGCUCGUACACUGACCUUUAACCUUAAGCCUUGACCUCAGGCUUGGAACCACAGAUGGCCAACUAGGGAUCGUAUUUUAUUUUUAUGGACCGUACUGGAUAGUUGUGUAUCACUUACUGGAAAUUAAACCUAAAAUUCUUGAAGUCUAAAUACGAAAAGUCAACCACGACCCGUACUCCCAUGUAUGAGCCGUAGACUCUAACCGUAGAAACCUUGUACAAAAAUUUCACUAAGUUUGAAAUCCAAUCUACGAGACACAAGUAAGAAUCAUAUUACCACGAACAACCCAUCCCGUUGACUUGUACAUUCCCACAUGAUACUUGAAAAAUUCUCAAAUUUUAGGACAUCAUCCAUGAUUGGGAUCUACGGGCUAUAUAACUUUGUACGCAGCAUACUCCAAUUCAUAAAUCAGUUGCACCAGCAACUUUCUGCAAUUAUUCCUUUUCAUAUCAACUUUCCAACUUUCAAUGUGUUACGUAAACAUAUUACAUAGACAUACUAAUCUGAAAUGUUGUACUGAAUAUCAUAAAAUGAUGCAAUGAUCAAGAAGAAGAAUAUACAACUGAAAUAUACUAAAAACUAAUGUAAUUGACUACAAGGUUAUGCAACAAAUAAAAUGGAAUAGUGAGAGAUACUAAUAACUAACAUAUAACUAUAUGAGCUAACCAUAAAGUUUGAUGUAUAAUCCUCAACAAAAGGGUUGAAUAUACUUUAUCACAAUAUAAAGGUGAUCUAAGCUAAUGUGGUACCACUAAGCUAAAGUUUGUAAAAGACUAAGGAAUCAAUACUCAACUAACAGGUGACCCUUAUAACCCCAUGAUGGCAUGUAGUUUUGGGGCGUAGGGAUUGCUACUAAAGAUCUCAGUCCUCAACUAACUGGUGAGUCUUCAUCUUAGGUCCAUUCGAUCCUAAGUAAAAUCUCAAUGGAAAAUGCAAUAAAAUUGCAAAUAAUAAUAAUAUGAUAAUAUUGAAUAAUAUUGACAAUAACUAAAUAGCUCAUGAAUUCUGAUAAAAUUGAUAAUAUCUGAGAGAUGUUUUAUCUGAAAGUAUCUUAAAUUCUAAAUCUGAUCAUAUGAGACAUGAAAAUAUCUAUUUGCUAAGGGUUCAAGAAAAUAUUGUCAGAAAUACUAAAUUAUAGUUUGAAAAACAUACAAUUAAACCAUCCUUGAUGAAUAAUAUGAAAAACAUUAAAAAAUCAUACUUUGCAUAAGAACCCUAACUAUUGUAGAAUGCAUCGACUGAGAAACAACGUUUUCUUUGUGACUCAAUGGGUGAAAAUAUAUUCAUUGAUGAAAUUUCAAAUACCAGAAAUAGAAGCCCUACCUUGAAACUUUGAACUAAAGCUUGAUGCUAUGGAACCCUAGUUCUUGUUUGAGAGAAAAUCUAAUUUUUUAGGUCUUACGCAUGAAAGAUGAGGGUUUAGGUCGACUAGUUACUCUAAAUCUCACUUAUAAUAAUCUUAAACUAUGUAGUAUAGGGAUUAAAAGAGUGGAAAAAAUAAAAAUAACCUUGAUUGAAAAUUGAGUUCGGCAGAUUCCACGAGAGCAUCUACGGUUUGUGGUUCCAUCUACGGAUCAUAGAUCCUUGUCCGUAGUAAUCAGAGAGAAAUAUAAGUUUCUAAAGUUUAAUUCUACGAGAAUCAUCUACAAUCCGUAGAUCAGACUAUGAAUCAUCAAACGUGUUCAUAAAAAUAAUUUUUUUUAAAUAUCUGAACUUGAAACUACGAACCCAAUCCACGGUCUGUAAAAGGAUUUACAACCUGUAUAUUUAGUGUGUGUUGUUCAGAUAAAAGUUCAUGUAUCUGAAGCUGAUCUACGACUCAAAUCUAUGACUUGUAAUAGCUUUACGAACCAUAAACUCAACUCAUAAAUCUUAGACCAAAUUUCUUGUUUCUGAACUUUGGUCUCUGAGCCUCAUCUACGAGUCGUGGUUUCAUCUAUGGUCAAUAGAUGUUGCUCAUAAAACUCAAAGUUCAGCAGACUUGGAUAAAUUUAUUAACUUUCAUGAGCUGAUUUGGACUUAGUAAUUUUUCAGGUGUUACAAUAUCAAUUUAUACAUGUUGACAACCUUGCUUGCCUCUCUCCUCUCUCCAUCUUUUCCUCGCCUCUUUCCCUGUGUAUGUGUAUUAUAGAAUGUAUCUAGUAUCAAAGAUACAUGUAUUUAGUAGCAUUGAUACAUGUAUCUGAAUUGAAAUUUUAUACAAAAUUAUUGAUUAGUGAAACAACAUAUAAUUAUUCAAAACUGUAAAGUGGACUAGCAUUUAUGGUAUGAAUGUUUGUGUAAUUAGAUAGUUUUUCAAAUUUAAAACCAACUCAUUUGAAAAUAAAAAAAGGGAUGGUUUCAAAUAUAUACAAUAAAGUAAUUAGUUUUAACAAGUAUAGUCAUGCUUUAUUUAUUUAUUUUGGUUUCCCAUCCGGUGUUCGGUACCUACAUUGGAGCCCGACUAAAUUCGGAUUCACGCCAGAAAGUCCCACAUUGGGGGGUAAAGCUCUCCCUAACAAAGGCGACUCCGUACGCAAGGGGGCUCGAACCCGAGACCUCUUGGUUAAGGAUGAAGGAGUACUUACAACACCACAACCCUUGUUGGUAGUCAUGCUUUAUUAACAUAAAAAGGUCAAAAAUCAUAGAAAGUAUACACAAACUAUACAAUAUAGCAAAAGUCAUAGAAAGUAUACACUGAAGAUACAAUAUCGAUUACUUAACAUGAGUUAUAUAUUGAAUAUACACUAUGAUACAGUUAAGAAGUUGAAUAUAGCUUAACUAUACAUGAAAUAUACUUUGAGUAUACAUGAACUAUACACUAACUAUUUAAUCUCGAUCAACUCAAAAAUUAUCUCUAAACAGUCCCAAAUUUUAGAUAUAAAAUUUUCUCGACGUUUCAAGUCUUUUGAUCUAUAAUUCGCUCGAAACGAUUCACGUUUCUGGUAUGUCAAAAAAAAAAAUUAAAAAAAAAUUAAAGAAAGAAAAACAACGUAUAAGAAGAAAAAUAUGCACAUGAGGAAAACACAAAGGAGGGGGAGGAGAAAGAGUCAUUAAUGGUGAAAUUGAAAGGAAGAAGCAAUUUGACCAAUUUUCAUAAUUUUAAAAAUUAGACUAAUUUUGUUAUAUAAAGCAAAAGGUUGAAUGAUCACAUUUUAGCAUAUUUUUCUAAUAAAAAAAAAAUAAGGACUAGAUUAUUUGAAAAAUAAAUCGUGCAAUUAAAAUAUCUCCUUACCGUUAAGAUGUAGUUCAAGUACUCGGUCCAAAGAAAUUGGGCCUAAGGCUCCUAGCCCAUGGUGUCAAAAAAUGUAGAACUCUCAUCCAUCCUUCCUUCCACCACUUUUUUCAAUACUCUGAUUACAAUCAUCCUUUGCCAAAUACAUGUAUCUAGCACACUCAGAUAUAUGUGUAUCUCAGAUAUAUGCAAGUCAAAGCAGGUAAUUUAUUCUAGACACAAUGUAUUUAACUAUGAUUUGCAUGUAUUUGGGAUAUACUGACGCUCUCGCUCGCUUCUCACCAUAAGUAUAUGUAUUUUAUAAUGCAUCUAAUAUCAAAGAUACGUGUAUUUAGUAUAAAAAAAAUACAUGUUAACUCUCUCGCUCGUCUCUCUUCAUAUGUAUGUGUGUACAGAAUGUGAAUGGUAUCAAUGGUACAUGUAAUAAGUUUAUUUGAUACAUGUAUCUUACUUGAAAUCUAAAGGAGUUGUGUAUCUAACUUAAAAUUUGGUAUGAACUAUUAAUUAGUGUGACAAUAUGUAAUAUUUUAAAUAUAGAGUGAGUUAGUAUUUCUGGUAGAAAUGUUUGUGUAAUCAGGUAGUUUUUCCAAAUUUAAAAUCAAUCCAUUUGAAAAUUAAAAAUUUGAGACCAACUUAUUUGAAAAGCAAAAUUACUUAGAUAUACGCUAGUUUGUAAUAUUACGAACCUUACUAGAUUUUGGUGCAUCCAGAUACAUGUAUCUUGGGAUACAUGAGGUCAAAAUUAGAUGUAAUUUGUUCUUGAUACACUGUAUUCAAUGGGAUAAAUAACAAAUCUCGCUUGCCUCCCUCCCAUCUCGCUUGCCAUUUUCCUAUGUACCUACCUACCUGGUAUCCGAGAUACAUGUGAAUCACACUAGAUACGUACAAAAGCAUGUAUCUAAUACGUAUCUAUUAUGAUUCACAUGUAUUUGAAAUACAUGACUAUCUUACUCGGCUCCCUUCCCAUCUCGCUCACCUUUCUCCCUAUUUUAAUAUAUCUAAUAGCAAGAAAAAAUAUGUAUUCAGAUAUAUCUUCCUCAAUAUAUGAUAAAAAUCUCUUAAGUAGUGGUAACAUACAUAAUUAUUUAUAAGUAUAGAUAAAAUUAAGAGCAACUUUCACAUAUAGCAAACACAAAAUUCAUAUUUGUAUGUUAUAGCAAAGUUUGCAUAAUUGCGCUCCAUAGCAAACAUGCUAUGACUAGGCUAUUUCGCUAUACAUAUAUCCAAAAGAAGCAAUUGUAUAAUUCGUUGGCUCCUCUUCAAAUUUGAAUAAUUUCGCUGGCAGGCCAUUUGUAUAAAUUGUUGUCAGCCUCUCGUUUGUAUAAAUCGUUGAAAGUCUCUCAAUUUAAUUUUAUGUGCUUGUAUAUCUGUAUAAAAUUUGAAUUUGUAUACAAUUGAAUCUAAAUAAAAUGUUUGUAUAUCAAAUAUCGUUCUCUCUCUCGCUUUAUGCAAACAUAAAUUAUACAUUGUAUUUUGUAUAAUCUGUGUUUGUAUAAAGCGAGAAAGUGAGAAAGGCAAAAGAGAACUGGACAGGGGAAUAUUUGUAUUGUAUAAUUAUAAGUGUAUAGUACGAAGAUAUAUGUAUUUGCAUGUGUAUAUACAAUUUUCUCUCGCUUUAUACAAACACAAACGCAUUUUAUACAAUUUGCGUUUUUUGUAUAAAGUGAGAGAGGCGAGUGAGAGAGCGAGAUCUGGGAGAGAAUUUCGCUGGCAGGCCAUUUGUAUAAAUUGUUGUCAGCCUCUCGUUUGUAUAAAUCGUUGAAAGUCUCUCAAUUUAAUUUUAUGUGCUUGUAUAUCUGUAUAAAAUUUGAAUUUGUAUACAAUUGAAUCUAAAUAAAAUGUUUGUAUAUCAAAUAUCGUUCUCUCUCUCGCUUUAUGCAAACAUAAAUUAUACAUUGUAUUUUGUAUAAUCUGUGUUUGUAUAAAGCGAGAAAGUGAGAAAGGCAAAAGAGAACUGGACAGGGGAAUAUUUGUAUUGUAUAAUUAUAAGUGUAUAGUACGAAGAUAUAUGUAUUUGCAUGUGUAUAUACAAUUUUCUCUCGCUUUAUACAAACAGAAACACAAUUUAUACAUUUCUGUUUGUAUAAAGCGAGAGAGGCGAGCGACAGAGAGAGCGAGCGAGAGAAGGAGAGUGGCGAGCGAGAGUUUGAGGGAGAGAGGCGACUGACAAACAGUUUGCUACAUGGCACAAUUAAAUCAAAGUGUGGUUAUACCAUUUAAUUUGAAUUAAUAGUUUGUCAUUAUGUACAAUUUUUCCUAAAAUUAAUAUAUGUGAUAUGAAUAUAUGUCUAAUAAAAUAAUUUUCCCUUAAACGAUCCCCUUACCAGUAAAAUGCAAUCCAAGUACUCGAUCCGAAGUAAUUGGGCCUCAAACCCUUAGCAUGUGGUGUCAAAAAACAUAGGAACUCUGAUCCAUCCAUCCUACUACCCAUUGCUUUCAAUAUUCCAAUCACAAUAGAUUUUUUAUUUUUUAAAAAAAAUGUGAUAAUACAAGCGAUUAGUGAAGUUCGUUUUACGUUAUGAGGAAAACUUCAAGACAAAAGCAAAUGAAUUAAGUCUACGCGAUGAGAGAUUAAUAGAAUUAAAAUCCUAGACAUUCACUUCUUUUAUUAAUUUUAUUUUCUCUCUCCUUAUAUAAAUUUUAUUUACAUAUGAAACAAAUGACUAGUUGAUAUAUAUAAAUUAAAUGUGAAUUUUUUUACAAGAUAUAAACUUGUGAAUCAAUUUUUGUAUUUGAAAAAAUCUCAAAUAAUGAUUUGAAAUUCCCAAAUUAUGAUUUUUGGAGAAUUUGAGAUUUCAUCUCAUGAUAUGAAUUCAUGAGGUGAAAUUAACAUAAAAUCACAUGUUCUAAAGCUAAUUUCAUCUCAUAAUUGCAUAUUACGAUAUGAAAUCGCAUGUCCAAACGCCUUCUUAGUCUGCACGAAAGUUGGGGGUUACUGGCUCUUGAACCAAUGCAGAUUUUCUGUCCUAAUUUUUUUUUGAAAUUGGUGAUUUUGUUUAAUAAAAGAGAGACUUCAAUUGAGAAUGAAAAUAUUAUUUGAUCUUCGAUAUCUUGAUUGUUCAAGAAGUUUGACCGUCACAUUAUUGGAGCUGGACAUGCUCCAUUUACAUUAGUUACAACUUACAAGGAGGGAACGUCAAAGAAAAUGUUACUAAGUAAAUUGAGAUAACUAUUUAGGAAUUAUUUGGUUGAGUGUAUUAGAAAAAAAAAUAUUUAUAUUAGUUUUGUAUGUUAUUAGUAGCUUGUUUGAUACCGUUUUUUAAUUUAUAUAUAUAUAGUUAAUGUAUAUUUUAUUUGGUAUUAAGGUAUGCAUAACUAAUACACGAAAAUAUAUGGUAUUAAUAAUACAAAAAAAUUUAAUGCUUGCAUUAGCAUGUUUAAAGACACUAUUACACUCAAAACAUAUUCCACGUCCUUUUCAUUAUAUUUGUGGAGCAAAAUAUUUCUAUUUAGAAAUUUAUGUGAUACAAUUUUUUUUUAAUAUACCAACUCAAACACAACGAAUAAAAUAAACUCAAUAUAUUUAAUAUCAGCAUUACUCAUACAUUAUAUUUAACACUAUUCAUAUACACCUUACCAAACGAGUCCUGAAUAUGUGUUGUGAUUGUCAACUUUAAUAGCACAUAGAUUGAAAUCUACAAGUUUUUUUGCAAAUGGUUUUGAAGUUGUUGUUUUUUUCUUUUUGUCCUAAUAUAUUCAGAAGCCAGCCAGGCAACUGAUGAAAUAUUGUUGUUACCUACCAAUGUUCUUCAUUUGGUUACUGCUAUAUGAUUUAGAUUGAGAAUUCUAAGUUUUAUAAAAUAAAAUAAUAAAAAAACAACAGACUCCUAUUCUGAUUUAUGAUCCUGCCUGCCACAUGUGCUCCCUUUCCAUGAAGAAACAAAUUAAAUUUAAGCAAGUGGAUAUCAAAAUUCUUGUACCCAUUAUAAUACUUAUAAUGAACUUAAUUAGUACACUUACAUAAUUUAUUAAAGAAUUAACUAUAUAUAAAACUAGAUUUGAUAAAUACAUAGGUUAAUUAAGUUGCACCCCAUCAUAUACAUCUAAUAACCAUGUCUCUCCUCCAUCAUGGGUGUAAAAAGUGUUCCACAAAUAAGUAUUAUUAGGAUAAUUACACAAGGGUAAUAAUUAUUACUCACAUAUCAAAAAUAAUGUUUAGCGAUAAUUAAUUAACGAUAAUAUCUUAAUUGUCACUAAAUAUAUAUAUUUUUAGCAGUAAUUACAAGUAACAAUCACAUUUUAACACCUUUGUUUAGAUGCCGCUAAAGCCUAUAAGGACAUUAGAUCAGUGACAAUUAACUAAUGUCGGUAAAAGUUUUAACACUCUUUGUUAAUGUACCUAUUUAUUGCCACUAAAAGUUAUUUUUGUUGUAGUGAUUGAAGCUCUUAACCCACAUUCACCUCCAACCAUCAUAUGUGUAUGUAAUGGUUUUGUAGUAUUAUUUGUCUCAACGCUAGACAGGAAAAAUAGAAGAAUUCAAAUCGCUAAAUAGAAAAUUGAAAAAGGCCAAGCUAUGAACAAUACUCUUUUCAACAAUAAAUAAACUAAAAAGCUAAAAAUCCGAUAUCUAAAUUGAGGCUUACUCAUUUAAGUGUGAUCGUAGAUCUGGCAUUUGAAUUAGUGAAGAUGCAAUAUGCAACUAUAGAGGAAGAAGCUUAGAGGUUUCAAUAAACAUAUAAUUCAAUGUUUAUGCUUAAUAAUUAGAAGCUCCUAUAAUAUGUUAGCCAUCAAGAGAAAGGGAUUAGAUAAGAAAUGAAUAAAUCUAACUAGUAACCUGAUUGACAAUAAUAAAUUUUUUUGUUUGUUUUUGCUUAGAAAAAUUACAAAGAAAAAAAUAAAUAAAAUUGGAAAUUAAUUAGAAGAGCCACUACAGAAUAUCUCUAAUAAUAGCAUUGCUCUGAGCAGCCUCUCAUCCUCUUUUGUUAUUUGAUCCAAUCACCACCUUUAAUUCUCCAUUCUAAUAAUUGCUCUUUCUUAUCAUCCUUUUCAUCAUAAUAAUUGUACCUAUUCCACAGCCAAACAAACUGUUUUUUUGUAAUAUCAGUUUCCAAUUUUAUAUAUUUAAUAAAAACCACUAUAUACUUAGCUAAUUAUUAUUAAUUUAUUCAAAAAAAUACUGAGAAAUGAUCAAUAAAAAAAUGAAGAGAAUCUCUAGCAUUCUCACAUGGUCAUGUUCCAAGUGAUUGUAUACCAUGUGACUUCCUUGAUUCUUUUUAAUCAUCAACAUAGUAAAAUAAUUUAUUGAAAUAUUUUUCACACUUCAUACUAAUUAUUACUACUAAUUGUAGCAUUACUUUUAAUUUCAUUGCUUUACUCUUUCUCUUAAUUUGUUUGGAAAAAAAAAUGUUUCCCUUCUUUUAUUCAACGUAUCUUUAAUUUAAGACCGCAAGAUUCAAAAAGAAAAAAAUCUUAAAUUUCAUGUUAAAUUCAAAUCAGACAAAUAAAUUAAGAUAAAGAAAUAAUCUUUAUUCAUGAACUUCGAGUAUCAUCUGAAUAAUUAAAUUGAAAGUAUUAAAAUAUCUUCACCACUUUCGAAAAUGAAUAGGAAAAAAUUAAUGUCUAGGUAAAAAUGAAAAUGAAUAGGAAAAAGUAAUGUCUAGGUAAAAAUGAAAAUCUCUAGUCUAUACACUAUUGUAGUGUAAUGAAUAAUUUUUUUUACUUUUUCUACCCUUGUUGACCUAUGGAUAUGAUGAAAAGAUUUAUGCCACUCUGUAGUAGAUUUUGAUGUUGAAUAUAUUCUCCUAACACCACGUGGAUGUGCGUUGGAAGAAGGAUCCAGGCAAUUAAGAAAUUAAUAUUAUAACCCCAUGUGAGACCUACGUGAAAGCAUCAUUAUUUUUUAUUAUAGUAAUUAAUAAUACUCCUUUCGUUUUAUCAAAAAUAAUCGUCUCAUAUCAAUAUAGAAUUAAUUAAACCUAUAGUCAAUAUGACAUUUUGAAUUUGAACAUUUUCCAAUACUCUAUAUAUUGAUGUCACUAUGUUAAAUAGAAAGUGUUGAUCGAUCUAAUAUGAGACGGAGGGAGUACCUGCAGUAGGAGGAAUUGAUGUGGGCUUUGACAUAAGGGCUGGAAGUGCAGGUAUUGGGCCAGCAGGUGUUGGAGAAUAGAUAUGGGCUGGAAGGCCCAUUGUCUGUGACUGAUGAUGAAAGUGAUAGUAUGGGUACAUUGGCAUCAUUGCCUGACUUGGAUACACUUGAGAAAAAUGCCCAUUCAUGUAGCCCCCACCAUUGUAGCUUACUUUCUGUGCACCAUGAAAAAACAAAAUUUUAAUGCGGGCUUCGAACACCGGAUGAAAAAAAAAAAAGGCUGAAUAAUGAACAAUUGUUUUUUUUUUGUUGGUGAACUUACAUGAUUGUAGUUCACGUCUGUGGCAAUAUAAGCUGGAGAAUACCUGCAAAUAUACCAACAGUUUAUAUAAUUAUGUCUCUAUUUUUCAAUUUAUAAGAUAGGAAAUUCUUUAAAACAAUUUGACCAUGGUUGCCAUCAUUGUUGUAUCAACUAUGUAAAAUAAAUUAAAUAUUGGGACUUAUCUUACUUCUUUUUAGAAUAUUUCAAGUAGUAUUCCUUCCUUUUAAUUUAGGAAAAAAGGUUUGAUAUACUCAUUAACUUUGUCAUUUAAAACUAAUAUAUUUAUCGUUAUAAAAUUGACAUAUAUCCUUUUUCAUCUAAGAGAAAAUGAUUUUUUUAAAACUAUUUUACCUUGGGUAUAGUCCAAAAUCAUUAAUUAUUAUAACUUAGUAUGUCCGCGCUAAUUUAGACGGUGUUACGCCAAAUCUUACCGCAUAAAGGAAAAAGGAGGGAGUCUUGUUAGUAAGAAUAAGGUCUCAUUUAUUUGCAUUUAAUGGAGGUUUGAAUCUGAAUGGUUCAAGCAUUAAGUUGAAUGAAAAACUAAUUAAACUAGAAUAAUAUUGAGAUCCAAAUCAAAAUAAAAAGAUUAGAGAGUAAUUAGGGUUUAUUUAUUUAUAUAUUUACCCAUAGAAAGGAAGAGGCUGAUGAUGGUGCUGAUGGUGAAAGGGUGAAGCCGGAGCUGCAGCUUGGGGUGCCGCAGCAGGAUAGUACCACUGCACGUGACUUGCAGGUGAUGCUGAAUUAGCCCUUGGUCCUACCACAUUAGCUCCUUCAACAUUUUUCAAUAAAAAUAUAAAAUAGAAAUUAGACUUCACAUAAUUUAUUAUCACAAAAAUCUAUCUCUAUUCAAUUUCCAUGUCAAAUCGAUAGAUGCAUAUUAAGUGUUUGCAUAUAAAUUUCUAUACAUAAUCAUGAUCAAUUCAUAAUACUAUAGUUUCAUCUUAUAAGUUCCCUUAACCAUGGUAAUUUGAUGUAAACAUUGAGUGUCAAUAAAUUCAGAUUCAUUAUUUAACAUGAUAAAUUAUAGAAAGAGAAAUAUUGAAAACAUGACGUACAUUAUCAAUUUCAUUCUCGAACUAUUGUAAGCCUUACAAACACCUCUUUAUUUGACUAAUUGAACUUAAAUACACCUUGAUCUUGCAAUAUGAGUGAUAUUCACCCUUAAAUUCUCCCCAAAUUUACGGGUACUCUUACAAUAGUUUGAGACUACUUGCUAUGUAUUCAUAUGACAGAUCGGAGAUUUAUCCGGGGUAUCAAAAUCUAGUUAAUCUAGUAAAGAAGUAUUUUUAAGACCGUCAGUAAUUCGAUAUAAAACUAAUAAUUUGUGUGAAGGAAAAAAUGUUUUCAAUACUUCUCUCAUAUAAUAAAAUUUUCCAUAAGAGGUACCUUGUUGAGGAGGAGGGGGGGGAGUGAUAGAGGGAGAGGGGCGGGAACGACGGGCGCCGAGGGACGCGAGAUUACAGUUGGCUCGGCGCCCGUUGAUAAUGGGAGUGGCAUCCUCGCAUGCUUUUUUGGCUGAUUCUGCGUCCUUAAAGGUCACCUAUCCAAAAAGAGGCGAAAAAAGAUUGAGUCAUUUUACAUAAAUUAAAAAGUAGUAAACGUUAAUUUGUCAUACACUAAUCUUGUAAAAAUAAAUGUGAUAGAGAUUUAAAUAAGACAAGGAGAAUUGAUAACAUACAAAGCCAUAGCCUUUGGAUCUUCCGGUGAGCUUAUCGGAGAUGAUGACAGCUUCCAAGAUGUCACCAUACUUGUCAAAGUGCUCUUUCAUGGCUUCCUUAGGAGUUUCCCAUGCCAACCCUCCUACAAACACCUUUGUUAGCGUCGUAUCCCCCAAGUUGUUGUGGUUAAUAUUGCUCAUCGUCAUGUAGAGAGAGAGAGAGAGAGAGGACUAAUGAAUGAAGUUUAGUUAGACUUCAAGGACAGAAAAUAGAGGACUUAAUUGAAAAAACAACUUCUUCAAGACUAUAUAAACUUGAGAAACAAGAGGGGGAGGAGGAAGUUAAAGGGGGAUCGGGAGAUUGAUGGAAUAUUCAUCAUAUAAUAUACAUACAUUAAUAAUAUAUAUAAAAGGAUUUUUAAUACUAUUAAUAGCCUAAAAAUAUAUAUUCACAAGUAACUAACUUACCAUAAAAAAUAAAAAUAAAACUAGGAAUAUAAUCUAAAACAUAGGAAAAUUACUUGCUUCAAAAUGUUACUCUCCCUGUCCUAAUUUAUGUGGCGUUUUUCUAGAGUCAAACAGUUUAAUUUUGAUCAGAAAUUUGCUCAUGGACUCUUAAAAAAAUUUGAAAUACAAUUUAUAUAUUUGUAAAUUACGUAAAAAGUACUAUAAAUCACAAUAGUUUUUAAAAAAAAUAUAAACUUAUUUGAAUUUCAAAAUACGAAAAGUACCACAUAAAAUGAGACAGGAGAAGUAUAUAACUUUUUAUAAUGUCAGUGUAUAUAAAUUAAACUUUGACGCCCGCACAUAUACAAUAUACACAUAGAACUUAGUUGUAUAUAGUGCAUUGUUGUGUGUGGGUGGGGGUGGGGUAGGGUGGGGAUGGAGGGGGGUGGGGUGGAGAAUAAGAAAAUGGAGAAAAGCAGGAGGACAGAAAAGCAUACAGUUGGACGAUGGGUUGAGGCCAUCAACGUGGUCUCCUUUUCUUCAUCAUCUUCUAUCUGGCAUUGUGUAAUAACUAACAUGCUACUCUUCAUUAAACUUUACUUACCAUAUUAAAAGCCCUACCUUUGUAUGUUGUGCUGUAAUAUUUCCUUUCCAAAUUUGGAGGCAUAACAAUUUAAGUUUAUGGUCCACGCGUUAUUCCUUUCCUUUAACCAAUUUAAGAAUUUUUAUGUAUUUGCCUCAAACUUCUAAUGCAUAUUUGGCUAGAAUGGGCAAAGGAGUAAAUAUACCCCUUCACUUUGCGAUUUAGAACAUAUGUAUUUCUUAUUAAAAAAGUGGUGUAUAUAUAUUCUUGUCGUUUAAUGAAUGGUGCCAGAGGCGGAUCUAGGAUUUCAGAAGGAUGAGUGCACUAUUACGAAAAAAUGCAUCUAACAUAUAAAUUUGAUCGAUUUGACCUUUACGUUCUUAACACUGAACCGUUAAAUUUUAAAAAUUAUAGGUCCAACAUAUAUAAUACUACUAGUUUUAGAUUUUAAUAUACACAUUUGAUUUAAUUAUAUAAAUUUUUUACAAUGCUAUUAUUUUUUAAGGAAUUUUCAAUGUAACACACUUGACAAUUUUAAAAGAUUAAAGCCAAAAAACAAAAGAGAAAAAUGAUUGAAACGCAAAAAGUGUUAUCGAUAACCACUUGGAGGAGUAUUACUAAAAAAACUAAGAUAGAUAUAAGUUUCUAUCUUUGCUUAGAGAGGUGCACUCAAUCAUCAUCGUAUUAUUUAUGUUACUUUUAACAUGGGCUCACACCUCUAUAUUUAAAUAUUUUUUAAAAAAAACAUAACACUACUAUAUAUGAUCUAGAGAGGGAGCAUGGGUUCACAUGAACCCACUGAACCCCCUCUAGAUACGCCUCUGAAUGGUGCAUAUAUACCCUCAUCGUCUAACAAAUGGUGUAUAUAUACCUUUUUCGUUAACAGGCUUAAUUUUUUAAAAAAAACAAUCUUAAAAAUAAUUUUUAAAUUCCCAAAAUAUCACGUCACUUAAAAAAAUUACCUCAUCCAUUUUUCUUACCCACCCAGACCCUACCAAAUUAAAAGAAUCUCAAUCCUUCUUCUAUUCAAACCCAAUCCAAACUCAUUUUAUGAAUGAGUAGGCGAGGAAUUAAAAAAAUUAUUUGGAUCGGGUCUAGAGGUGUGAGAAAAGGGUGAGAUAAUUUGUUGAAAACACGUGACAUUUUUGCAAAAUAAAAAAAUCAGUAUUAUACAACAACAUGCCUAGUGAAAUCUCACAACUGAGAUCUGGGGAGGUAGAUUGUACGUAGACCUUACCACUACCUCGUGAAGGAGGUUGUUUUCGAAAUACCCUCGGCCCAAGUUCAACAAAUCCAGGUGUAAAAAAAAAGGAGACAGUGAAAGAAACAUAACAAGUAACAAGGCAAAGUCUACUAGAAAUUAAGGAGCCAAAAACAACAAUAAAAAGAUGUGAUAAUCAAAACAUAAUAGACAUCAUAUUAGGAUAGAUUAUUGAAAACAAUAAUAAAAAACAGAAAAAGAACUACAAUAAUCCAACUAGUACCAGACAAACACUAGUCAUCCUAAGAAACACAACACUACACUACCUACUAAAUAUCUACCCUAAUACGUGUCAUCCACAUCUUCUUAUCUAAGGUCAUGUCCUCGGUAACCUAAAACUUCAUCAUAUCAUGUCUUAUUGUAACACCCCGUAUCGGAAAGAGGGAAUUAAACCAGAUUUUUGAGAAGUUGCAGGUGUCAGCCACGGAGGCCAACCACGGCUCGUGGGUUGAACCACGAACCAUAGGUGUGGUCCGUGGGUUGGUCACUCUUCCAGAGUUCAGGGGUCCCAAGUCAUGGUCUCUGAUGACCAACGACGGUUCACCAGGACGGACCGUGGGUUAGACCACAGCCCAUUGACUGGGCCCGUCGUGGGUCACUCAGGAAAAGGUCCAAACAUGGACCACAGAAGGGAUCUACGGACCGUAGGUCGGUCCACGCCCCGUGGUCCAGGGUUCCGUCGAUGGCCAAAAUUCUCUGUAUUAGUGACGGAUGUGGUGGAUGGACCGUCCACGGUCCGUUGAUGGGGGUCUCAUGGGUCACUACUGGCAGUUAUUCUUAGGGUUAUUUGGGUCUUUUUCUAAUUAAUUAAUUCCUAUACUAUGUCAUUUUGCCUACAUCUAAACCACCUAUAUAAGUAUUUUUAACCCCAAAAUCCCCCAUUUAAUUCAUUCUUCCUAAAUCCCAAAAGAAAACCAACUCCUCUCAAAUAUUCUCUCUCAAGAACUUGACGAAGAAGAAGAAGAUUUCACCUAGGGUUUCAAGUUAAGGAUCCAAAUUCUCCAUUGAAGAUAGGAAAUUGGACUUGAGGUAUGAUAGCUUUCAUCCAUGGGUUCCUUCCACCCAUGGAAUCCCCAAAUUCCUCUAUUUCAAAUGGUAGGAUUCCACAAUUAGCUAGAGUUUUCUUCAAACACCAUGGGUUCUUUUGAUUAUUGAUCUUAAUGGUUUAAUUAUGUCUAAAUAUGCAUGAAUUGAUAAUUUACAAUGCUUUAUGAUGUAUACCCUAUGAACCCAUGCAAACCCCUAUGUUUUCCAAAUUGUGAUCUCAUAAUAUGAGUUGUUGAUGAUGAAAGAAGAGUUUUAUGAUCUAAAGCAUGAAGUAAUAGAAUUACAUGAAUUUAUGAUAAAAUCCCUAUCUAAUGUUAGAAUUCUAGAUUUGGUGAUUGAAAGUAGCUUUGAACCUUGAAAGGGCAAAGUGUGAGUUUAUGCAUGAUCUUAUGAAACCUAUGUAAUGCUUUAAGGGUGCUUUGAGAGUGAAGUGUCAAUGUUGUUGUUGUUGUUGUGUUGUUGAAAGGUUAUUCUCAUAAAACACUUACAAUCAUGAUGUGAAAGGUUUUCUCACAUAGAAAGGAUUCUUAGGUUGAAAGGUUAUUCUCACCUAAUUGAAUAAAUGAAUAAGAGUUAUCCUAAUGAACUAGCUUGGAUUGACAAGAUGACAUGUCUUUCCAUGGACAAUGAAAAUAAAUAAGAAAAUACUAUUCCGUGAGAAUUAAGCUUAGCAGUGAGUGGCUUGAGAUGGAAGAUAUCUCGUGAGUAGAGGCCGAGUUUCUAGAAGAAGUCUCAUGAGAUGGAAGCUCACCCGUGAGUAGAGGCCGGGUUUCUAGUAGCAAUCUCCUUAUCACAUAACUAUGUGCCCUCAUAGGUUGAUUAGCUAGUGGAUCCACUUAAUCUAGAUGUUCAUGGUUCUACCUUAGGCAAGUAGAACAACCCUUUUCGAUGUAGGAGACACCGGGUGAUCAUGUUUUAGCUCACAUGAUAUCUUUGUCGGUUAAGGCUAGUUCUUUCACAACAAGUUGACUUAUGAACUAAAGUUACUUAAAGAAGUAUCUUAUAUGUGCUCAAAGACAUAAAGAUGAUUUAGCUUGCAUUGACCAUGAUGUUAUUACCUAUGUUUUCCAACUAUUUUUAUUAUGAUGUUUAAACUUGGUAAACUGCUUAUCAUGAAAUGAAAUGUCAUUUUUAGCAUGUUUUAAAUAUUUUUAUGUAGAAUUAUCAUACUUCGUGCAUUUUUGUACUAACUCAUACUCUUGCCUACAUUUUUCCCAAAUGUAGGGUCCGACAGGCAGGGUUUCCAAUCUAGUGGCUAGAGCUUGGACUUUGAUCUCUUUUCGAGCUUGGUGAGUCCUCAUAGUUCGAGGAUGGAUUUCCUUAUUGUAGUUUCACUUUCGUAUUUCCUUUUUGGACAUAAUGUAUGGUCUAUGUCCACUUUCAUUCGAUUGUAAUAGAUGACUAUGUUGAGACAUGAGCUAGACUUCCGUUUUUCUAUAAGAUGUUUUGGACUUAAAUAUUAUUUUUACUUUUUAUUGUUCUAAUGCUUUAUGCUAUGAGGAUUAAGUGGCUUCUAUGGAGUCCUUCGGGGUUCUAUACGCUAUAUUAUAUGUAGGGGGUACCCCUGGGUCGUGACAAACUUGGUAAUCAGAGCACAAGGUUUAGAAUGAUCCUAGGAUGAUGUCCCAUAAGCCGCGUCUAGUAGAGUCUUGUUCAGGAGUGUGAAGCGCACUAGACUUAUGAAUGAGAGGCUACAAGAUGAUUAGGAAACUACACUUUUUUCAUUACUCUUAAGUUGUGCCAUAGAGUUUAACUCUAUAAAGUCUCCCUUCUAAUCCUUACCUUAUGCUCUUCAGGAUAUGUCUAUUCGAAGAGCUUACACUAGAAGGAAUGUGAGGGAGAAUAUGGAACAAGAAGCUCCUACCCAAGCUCCUUCUCAAGCUCCGGUCGAUCCCUUGGCCGAAAAAGUUACUAAUGUAGAGUUUAGAUCGGCUUUUCAAGUGUUAGCCCAAGCCAUGAUGGCUCAAGCCAAUAGAGAGGUGGUAGUCCUCGUGAACCUUAGUGUGGGUACAAUGACUUUAAGAGUGAGAUUUCAUGAGGAUGAACCCUCCGAAAUUUCAUGGCUUCAAAGUUGAGGAAGAUCCUCAAGAGUUUAUUGAGGAAGUCUACAAGGUACUUCCUAUCAUGGGAGUGACUUCGGGAGAGAAGGUGGAGUUGUCCACCUAUCGAUUGAAAGGUGUUGCUCAAGUUUGGUACAAUCAAUGGAAAGAGGCUAGACCGGCGGGAGCGGGUCCUAUUGAAUGGGAAAGGUUCAAAUCCGCUUUUCUUGAUAGAUUCUUUCCCUUUGAGAUGAGGGAAGUCAAGGUGCUAGAGUUCAUCAACCAUCUUCAAGGAAGCAUGAGUGUAAAGGAAUAUGCUCUAAAGUUCACUCAACUGUCCAAAUAUGCUCCAACAAUGGUUGCAGAUUCAAGAGCUAGAAUGAGUAAGUUUAUAUCGGGGGUGUUGAAAUUGGUGGUUAAAGAGUGUCGUACCGCCAUGCUCAUUGGUGACAUGGAUAUUUCUCGUCUCAUGGUGCAUGCACAACAAAUCGAAGAGAAUAAACUCAAAGAGAAGUCUAGAGAGGUAAAAAGGGCUAAGACCGGUGAUGGUAAUUUCCCACAUGCUAGAUCCGAUGGACAUGGUCGUCCUAAGUUUCGUCAAGGGUUUUCCAGUCAAGGUUCCUCUAAUGUUCCACCUAAGUUUAACAAGGAUAGGGUGUCUAACCCUAAACUUCAAGGAGGGAAUGGUGGUGGUUCAUUUUUGGCUAGGUCUACAUGUGCUAAGUGUGGGAAGAAACAUCAUAGUAAAUGCCUAGCCGGCACCGAUGUUUGCUUUAGUUGUGGGAAGAGUGGUCACAAAAUGAGAGAUUUCCCCAUGUUCAUGGAAAAAGGAAGGGAAGGCAAACAAGCUCUUCAUAGCGGUUCAAACUCCAAUGCUCCAAAGUAAAAUCGCUUAUAUGCUCUCUAAUCCCGAGGUGACCAAGAGAGUCCCCCGGAUAUAGUGACCGGUAUGUUAAAAAAAUUUCAACAUGAUGUGUAUGCCUUGUUAGAUCCCGGUGCUACUUUAUUUUUUGUGAUGCCGUAUAUGGCAAUGAGGUUUAAUGCUCCUCUAGAAGUGUAAUUAGAACAUUUUUUCUGUCUGUACUCCUAUUGGUGAUUCUGUGGUGGCUAAGAGGGUUUAUAGAAGGUAUCCCGUUUCCUUGUACCAUAGAGUUACUCUUAUAGACUUGGUAGAACUUGACAUGUUAGACUUUGAUGUCAUUCUUGGGAUGGAUUGGCUGCAUGCUUGUUAUGCCUCUAUUGAUUGUAGAACUCGAGUGGUCAGAUUUUAAUUUUCAAAUGAGCCUAUCCUAGAGUGGAAGGGGAGAAAUUUUAUGCCUAGAGGUCAAUUUAUGUCUUACCUUAAAGCUAGGAAGAUCAUCUCGAAAGGUUGCUUUUACCAUGUUGUUAGGGUGAGGGAUGUAGGUUCUAAAACCUCUUCUCUCAAGUCGAUUCCCGUGGUUAACGAAUUCCCAAAAGUUUCCCCCGAUGAUUUUCCCGGUAUUCCUCCCGAGCGGGAAAUAGAUUUCGGUAUUGACCUCUUCUAGGAUACACAACCUAUUUAUAUUCCUCUUUGUAGAAUGGCUCCGGCGGAGUUAAAAGAGUUGAAGGAGCAACUAAAAGAUUUAUUGGAUAAGGGUUUCAUCCGACCGAGUAUCUUUCCAUGGGGUGCUCCCGUGUUGUUUGUUAGAAAGAAAGAUGGGUCUCUUGUAAUAUGCAUUGAUUAUCGUCAAUUGAAUAAAGUGACCAUUAAGAACAAGUAUCCUCUCCCAAGAAUUGAUGACUUGUUUGACCAACUUCAAGGGGCUAGUUAUUUCUCUAAGAUAGAUCUUCGUUCAGGCUAUCACCAGUUGAGAGUAAGAGGAGUUGAUAUUCCAAAGACGUCUUUCUGAACUCGGUAUGGCCAUUAUGAAUUUCUAGUGAUGUCAUUUGGUUUAACUAAUGCUUCGGGGGCAUUUAUGGACUUGAUGAAUAGAGUGUUUAGGCAAUACCUAGACAUGUUCGUGAUUGUGUUUAUCGAUGAUAUUUUGAUCUAUUCAAGGAGUGAGGAUGAAUAUGUGGACCAUUUGAGAAUUGUGUUGCAAGUUCUUAAGGACCAAUAACUUUUUGCAAAGUAUCACAAAUGUGAAUUUUGAUUAAGGGCCGUAGCUUUCCUUGGUCAUAUUGUGUCAAGUAAGAGAAUUGAGGUAGAUCCUAAGAAGACAGAUGCGGUCAAGAGUUGGCCUAGACCUCUAACCCCUUCCGACAUUAGAAGCUUUUUGGGUUUGGCCGGUUACUAUAAAAGGUUUGUUGAGGGAUUUUCUUCCAUUGCUUCUCCUUUGACGGCUUUGACUCAAAAUAAGGCUAACAUUGUGUGGUUGGAAGCUUGUGAGAAAAGUUUCCAAGAGUUGAACGAUAGACUUACUUCCGCUCCGGUGUUGACCCUACCGGAAGGUACGGAUGGUUUUGUGGUGUAUUGUGAUGCCUCUAGAGUUGGGUUGGGAUGCAUGCUUAUGAAAAAUGGUAAGGUGAUUGCCUAUGCUUCAAGGAAACUUAAGAUCUAUGAGAAGAAUUAUCCUACCCAUGACCUUGAGUUAGCGGCGGUUGUGUUUGCCUUAAAAAUAUGGAGGCAUUAAUUGUAUGGGAUUCAUGUGGAUGUUUUGACCGAUCAUAAGAGUCUACAAUAUGUGUUUAGUCAAAAGGACUUGAAUCUUUGCCAAUGAAGGUGGUUAGAACUAUUGAAGGAUUAUGACAUGAGUGUCCUUUAUCACCCCGGUAAAGCUAAUGUGGUAGAGGAUGCUCUUAGUCGAUUGUCGAUGGGUAGUAUGACUCAUGUAGAUGAAGAAAAGAAAGAGUUGGUUUGUGAUGUCCAUAGGUUGGCUCGAUUAGGUGUUCAACUAGUGGAUUCCACUAAGGGUGUUGUCAUGGUCCAUAGUGGGUCUGAAUUGUCUUUUGUGGUGGAUGUAAAGGCUAAGCAAGGUCUUGAUCCCAUUUAAGUUGAGUUGAAAGAAGCGGUACUUAAGAAGUUCGUACUUAGGUACCAAGCUCGGUUAUGUGUUCCAAAUGUUAAUGACUUGAGGGAACGAAUUUUAGAGGAAGCCCAUAGUUCUCGGUAUUCUAUUCACCCGGGAGCCACCAAGAUGUACCGUGAUCUACGAGAAGUCUAUUGGUGGAAUGGGAUGAAGAAAGAUAUUGUAGGAUUUGUGGCCAAAUAUCCUAAUUGUCAACAAGUGAAAGUUGAGCACCAAAGGCCAUGAGGUUUGUCCCAAGACAUUGUUAUUUCUACUUGGAAGUGGGAAGACUUGAAUAUGGACUUUAUAGUUGGUUUGCCUCGCACCCCGCAACAACAUGACUCGAUAUGGGUAAUAGUUGAUCGGAUGACGAAAUCGGCUCAUUUCCUUUCCGUCAAGGUUUCUUAGUCGGCGGAAGACUAUGCUAAGAUGUAUUUGAGAGAGGUGGUGAAAUUGCAUGGUGUGCCUUUGUAUAUCAUUUCCGAUCGAGGUACCCAAUUCAGUUCUCAAUUUUGGAAGUCAUUCCAAAAGGGUCUUGGUACUAAGGUUAAGCUUAGCACGAAUUUUCUUCCCCAAAUCGAUGGGCGAGCGGAACGUACUAUCCAAACCUUGGAAGACAUGUUAAGGUCUUAUGUGAUUGAUUUUAAGGGUAUUUGGGAUGACCAUUUGCCAUUUAUGGAAUUUGCCUAUAAUAAUAGCUAUCACUCGAGUGUUGGUAUGGCUCCAUUUGAGGCUCUUUAUAGUAUGAGGUGUAGAUAUCCUAUAGGUUGGUUUGAGGUGGGUAAAGUUGCCUUGAUAGGUCCUGAGCUAUUUUAUGAAGCUAUUGAGAAAGUUCGGCUUAUUGGAGAGAGGUUGAAAACGGCUCAAAGUCGACAAAAGUCUUAUGUUGAUGUUAGAUGAAGGGAUCUUGAAUUUGAGGUUCAUGAUUGGGGUUACUUGAAACUAUCACCUAUGAAGGGUGUGAUGAGGUUUGGUAAGAAAGGGAAGCUUAGUCCCCGGUAUGUAGGCCCAUAUCUUUGAGGCGUGUUGGCAAGGUUGCCUAUCAGUUAGAUUUGCUAAAUGAGUUGACAUCAGUGCAUCCAAUUUUCCAUGUCUCUAUGCUUAAGAAGUGUGUUGGAGAUUCGACGUCCAUAACUCCGCUAGAACGGUUGGGAGUUGAUGAAAGCCUCUCUUAUGAGGAAGUUUCGGUUGAGAUUUUCGACCGACAAGUUAAGAAGUUAAGGAAUAAGGAAGUUGCUUCCAUAAAAGUUUUGUGGAGCAAUCAAUUAGUUGAGGGUGCUACUUAGGAGGCCGAGGCCGAUAUGAAGUCUCGAUAUCCUCAUCUCUUUCCCUCAAAUCCUCUCCUAGCUUGAAGUAAUGAGUUCCUCUUGAUUGUUUUUUGUUUAGGAGUCAUGUGUGAUUUAUGUGUUUCUAUGAUUUCGUUAUGAUUAUACAUGUUCAUGAAAAAGCUUAUGUUUUGAAAUAAAUGGCUUAAAUGACUUAUUUUCCUCAUGUUGUUGUGUUUUGAGUAUGAGUUGCCUCAUGACUUAUUGAUGAACAUGUUUUUGAUAUGUUUUUUUAGAGUAAAUUGCAUAUAGGCUCCAUGAGAUCUUGUUGAGCAUUCUUUAAAGCUUGGAGAAGGUAGUUCCUCCUAAGAACAUAAGAAAUGUUGAAAUUUCAUGUAUGAUGGUUGUUAGAUGUAGUUCCUACUUCCUUGUGUUGCAUUUGAGUAUGUUGAGAGUUAGAGUCGAUAGUCCCUCCUCGGUUGUAUGCAUUGCAUUGAUUCGAUUGGGUUGUUAAUUUCUAUCAUACUCUUUUAGAGCCAGUUUAAACCUCAUUCUAGGACGAAUAAUCCCAAGGGGGAUAUAUUGUAACACCCCGUAUCCGAAAGAGGGAAAUAAACCAAAUUUUUGGGAAGUUGCAUGUGCCAGCCACAGAGGUCAACCACGACCCGCAGGUUGAACGACGGACCGUAGGUGUGGUCUGUGGGUUGGUCACUCUGCCAGAGUUCAGGGGUCCCAAGUCAUGGUCUUUGAUGACCAACGACGGUUCACUAGGACGGACCGUGGGUCAGACCACGUCCCGUUGACUGGGCCUGUCGAUGGGUCACUUGGAAAAAGGUCCAAGCAUGGACCACGGAAAGGACCUACGGACCGUAGGUUGGUCCAGGGUUCCGUCGAUGGCCAAAAUUCUCUGUACUUAGUGAUGGAUGUGCAGGAUGGACCGUAGGUCUAUCCACGGUCCGUCGAUGGGGGUCUCGUGGGUCACUGCUGGCAGUUAUCCUUAGGGUUAGUUGGGUCUUUUCCUAAUUAAUUACUUCAUAUACUAUGUCAUUUUGCUUGCAUCUAGACCACCUAUAUAAGUAUCUUUAACCCCCAAAAUCCCCAAUUUAAUUCAUUCUUCCUAAAUCCCAAAAGAAAUCCAACUCCUCUCAACUAUUCUCUCUCAAGAACUUGAAGAUAAAGAAGAAGAUUUCACCUAGGGUUUCAAGCUAAGGAUCCAAAUUCUCCAUUGAAGAUAGGCAAUUGGACUUGAGGUAUGAUAGCUUUCAUCCAUGGGUUCCUUCCACCCAUGGAGUCCCCAAAUUCCUCUAUUUCAACUGGUAGGAUUCCACUAUUAGCUAGGGUUUUCUUCAAACACCAUCGUUUCUUUUGAUUAUUGAUCUUAGUGGUUUAAUUAUGUCUAAAUAUGCAUGAAUUGAUGAUUUACAAUUCUUUAUGAUGUAUCCCCUAUGAACCCAUGCAAACCCCCAUGUUUUCCAAAUAGUGAUCUCAUAAUGUGGGUUGUUGAUGAUGAAAGAGGAGUUUUAUGAUCUAAAGCAUGAAGUAAUAGAAUUACACAAAUUUAUGAUUAAAUCCCUAUCUAAUGUUAGAAUUCUAGAUUUGGUGAUUUAAAGUAGAUUUGAACCUUGAAAGGGCAAAGUGUGAGUUUAUGCAUGAUCUUAUGAAACCUAUGUAAAUGCUUUAAGGGUGCUUUGAGAGUGAAGUGUCAAUGUUGUUGUUGUUGUUGUGUUGUUUAAAGGUUAUUCUCAUAAAACAUUUACAACCAUGAUAUGAAAGGUUUUCUCACAUAGAAAGGAUUCCUAGGUUGUAAGGCUAUUCUCACCUAAUUGAAUCAAUGAAUAACAGUUAUCCUAAUGAACUAACUUGGAUUGACAAGAUGAUAUCUCUUUCCAUGGACAAUGGGAAUAAGUAAGAAAAUACUAUUUCGUGGGAAUUAAGCUUAGCACCGAGUGGAUAUUGACCUUGAGAUGGAAGCUCUCCCGUGAGUAGAGGCCGGGUUUCUACAAGAAGUCUCAUGAGAUGGAAGCUUACCCGUGAGUAGAGGCCGGGUUUCUAGUAGCAAUCUCCCUAUCCCAUAACUAUGUGCCCCCAUAGGUUGAUUAGCUAGUGGAUCCACUUAAGCUAGAUGUUCAUGGUUCUACCUUAGGAAAGUAGAACAACCCUUUUCGGUUUGGGAGACACCGGGUGAUCAUGUUUUAGCUCACAUGGUCUCUAUGUCGGUUAAGGAUAAUUCUCCCACAACAAGUUGACUUAUGAACUAGGGUUACUUAAAGAAGUAUCUUAUAUGUGCUCAAAGACUUAAAGGUGAUUUAGCUUGCAUUGACCAUGAUGUUAUUACAUAUGUUUUCCAAUUAUUUCUAUUAUGAUAUUUAAACUUGAUAAAUUGCUUAUCAUGAAAUGAAAUGUCAUUUUUAGCAUGUUUUAAAUGUUUUUAUGCAUAGUUAUCAUACUUAGUGCAUUUUUUUACUAACACAUACUCUUGCGACACGCCGAGUGGUCACUUACCUCGCCGAGUUUUACAAGACCUCCAGUUAAUAUAGGGGUCCAAAUGGCGGACAAAGUCGCGAUAGCCAACCUAUUCGGCGACUCGCCAACUUGUUCAUGGGCCCGUCGAGUUUAACAGACUCCAACCUGAUAAUUUCUUGAGUCCAACGUUGGUCCAAGUCGGGCUCGCCGACUGGACAUUUUGCUCGCCAAUCACCACUUUUCAAGAACAUUCCAAACUUCCACCUGCACAAUCAACACACCAUUAUUUCAAAAACAAAACAGAAACAGUAAAACUUGGGUUGCCUCCCAAGAAGCGCCUUAGUUAACGUUGUGGCACGAUGCAAGUCCCUACUCAACCCUCACUCCUGGGUAGAGAUGUGAUUACAUAUGGCCCAUUUGGGUCUCCAGUAGCUGAAUCGACAUGGAAUGAGAGACAGACAUUUGAUUCAGCAGUGAGAUAUUCUCUUUUAUCUCAUUCAACACUCUGUCGUAUUGUUCGACUUUGUGGAGAAUGAGUGAGAGUAUCUCUUCUAUUUGUCCACCCUCGUACUCCUUGGGUUUUAUACGCUCGUGAAGGGGAAUGUACCGAUCUUUCUUUUUGCACGGUACCUCCAAUUCCAUAAUCUGUUUGGUCACGAGAUCCAGCAGAGUCAACAGUGUGGCCAAAAUCUGGUCCUUCUCAGUCUCUUUGUUGGUCUUGGUCAUAUGAUCAAGGAGCUGGGCUGCUAUUGCAUAGGGUAGUCGUGUGAGACCACCCAGAGAAAUUUGGUCAGCCAUUCUUCUGUUCUCAAGACCAAGACUGUAUAGAAGCACUUCAGUAGCAUCUCAUCUGGGAUUUCAUGAGUUGGGCAUUACAACAAUAUUGUCUUAAAUGUCAGCCACAACUUAUGGAUUGUCUUACCCUCCAAUUGUUUAAACUUUAGGAUGUUAUCCCUAAGAACCAUCAUUUUUGAAGAAGGGUGACCAACUUGGUUACCGUUACUACUGGACAUGCUUAUCUUCCAUGUUCUAAACAACAAUACAAACCAAAACUAAAAAUAAAUAGAUUCAACUAUAACUAAAAAGAACAAAAUUCAACUUAACCAACGAAUCUUAACCAACACCACUCCCCGGCAGCGGCGCCAUUUUGAUUUAACGUUUCAAAGACACUUCAUCCAAUUCUAAGUGUCAACGAUCGUUAGUCAGUAUAUAACCCAACUAAAUGAGUUGGGGUCGAAUCCCAUAGGGAGCAGUACAUGUUUAAGAUUCAAUAGUAAAGUGUGAACAUGAUCAAAUCAAUCAUAGGAAUAGACAUGAUCGAAUAAAAAUAUAAUUCAAAUCAGGGGUUGACACGAAUGUCAAAUAAGGGGGUUUUGGUUUGAAAUUAUCAACUACANNNNNNNNNNNNNNNNNNNNNNNNNNNNNNNNNNNNNNNNNNNNNNNNNNNNNNNNNNNNNNNNNNNNNNNNNNNNNNNNNNNNNNNNNAAAAAACAAUACGGAAAUAACAAUAAUGAGACGGGUUCUUAGGAUGUGAUUUGAUUACAGGCUAUUAUAGACAAAUGGGUUGUUGCAACUGUUAGAAAAUGGCUAAAAAUAAGUGAGUAAGCUAGACUAUAGAGGAGAUAAACUUUAUCUCGAACAAUUUACCCCGAAUCAAGUUGAUUUCUCUCGAACAUCAACAAGCAUGCAAAAUAAGAACAGCCCACACUUAGUCCAUUUACUCUCUUGAGCUGAAUGUGUUAAAAAGGGUUAGGAUUCACUCUCUCGAGCUGAACCCAGGCCAACCCAAUACCCAUUGACCAUCAAUCAAGCACCUUAGUUCUAAAACCUCUCUCGAGCAAGCCAAGAACACAAAGGUGGAAUCACAUUUGCAACUGCAAUUCCUAAAUUAACCUACAAUAAAUGAUUGAACUCACUUUUAAAUAGUAAUUAAACUAACAAUUAACAAUACCCAUUAGCUAAAUCAGCCCAUAAUUACAUAAUCACACUCCAAGAAUUGGGGUUUUAGCUAGACAUCAUUAAAAGAUAAAAAUCGUUACCAAAUUGUUUUUCUAUCAACUGGGUAAGAUUGAUUUUGUCUUUACAAUGUUCCAAUUCGAAGAAUAUCAAAGACCCACUUCCAAUUUCUCAGAAGUGAAGAGCUUCGAUUAUCCAAAGCUUAGGAAAAACUAGAGAAAACUCUCCAAAAACUCUUAGAUAUCCAGUCUCAAAUUAAGAUAAAAAUUGAUACUAAACUAAAGAGAAAACUCUCCAAAAACUCUUAGCUAUCCAAUCUCCUAUGAAUUAAGAUAAAAAUUUAUAAAAAUUGAUACUAAACUAAAUGUUCAAAAAUGUAUUUAUAGUCGCCAAAAAUGUGCUGCGAAGAGCCACUCGCACAGUAAGUCGGGCUCGCCGAUCCACUCGCCGAUCCCUCCUUUGGUCAAUUCCAUCACCUUUCUGCCUUGGCCUUCAGCAACCUCAGGUUCUGUAACUUUGGGCGAUCCAACACUGCAUUACGGAAUCACUCGACGAAUCACCGACUGCUCCUUUCUCUUGCCAACUAGGUUCUUUCCUUCAGGGAUUGGCACACUGGAACUUUAGGCGGUCAGUUGGCCAUUCGGCGACUCGCCAAAUGGACUUGGCGAUCACCAGGCUCUCUUUUCUACAUUCUUUUAGAUCGUUUUGUUCCUUUUUGUAACUUAGUGUCCUUGCGUUGCUCCUCAAUCCAUAAUCCUGAAAAUCAAGGAAUUUACAUCAGUUAUUAGCACAAAAUAAGCAUUUAAGGACACUAAACCUAUACAAAUAAAGCUCUAAAUGAGUCCAAAUCUCGAACUCAUCAGCUAGGCCCACUUUCAUUCGAUUAUAAUAGAUGGCUAUGUUGAGACAUGAGUUAGACUUCUGCUUUUCUAUAAAGAUGUUUUGGACUUAAAUGUUGUUUUUACUCUUGAUUGUUCUAAUGUUUUAUGUUAUGAGGACUAAGUGGCUUGUAUGGAGUCCUUCAGGGUUCUAUACGCCAUGUUACAUCUAGGGGGUACCCAUGGGUCAUGACACUUAUCACCUUUUCUCAAUCUAUACUUCUUCGGUCUACAUUUGUUUCUCCUCAUACCCUUUAUAACAACACAUCGCACCUCCUCACUCUAGCGUCUAAGAAUCUUCUAUUCACGUGUCUAAACUAUCUAAAUCUUGCUUUCAUCAUCUAAUCACCAUAGAGGUCACUCUCGUCUUAUCCUGGAUAUCCUCAUUUCUAAUAUUAUAUUACUCGUAGUAUGGCCACAUAUCCACCUCAGCAUCCUCAUCUCCGCAACAUGCAUCUUCUACACAUGAAAUUUUUUGACUGGCCAACACUUUAUCUUCUACAACAAUGUCGGUCUAACCACCACUCUAUAGAACUUACCUUUGAGUUUUGGCAGUACCUUUUUAUCACACAAGACUCUAGAGGCAAAUCUCCGCUUCAUCGAGGCUACACCAAUAUAAUGUGUGAUAUCAGUAUCAAUGUCACCACUCCCCUAGAUUAUAGACUAAAGAUACUUGAAUGUGUCUCUCUUAGAGAUAUUUUACGUGUCAAGCCUCAUUUCCACGCCAACUUCAUGCAUCGCAUCAUUGAACUCACACUCCACAUACUUUGUCUUGGUCCUGUUCAACUUGAACCAUUUAGUUUCUAAAAAUUUUCUUCACACCUCUAACUUAGCAUUAACUCCAUCGCACGUCUCAUCUAUUAAUAUUAUGUCAUUCGCAAAUAGUAUACACUACAACACCUCAUCUUGAAUGUCUUACGUCGAUUCAUCCAUUACCAAGACAAAUAGACUAAGAGUUGAUCCCUGGUGUAACUCCAUCUCCACAAGAAAUUGCUCAAAAUCUCCUCCCACCAUUCUAAUCCAUGUUUUAUCUCCUUCGUACAUAUCCUUUAUUUCCCAAAUGUAGGUCACCAAUUCACCCCUUUCCUCCGGACAUAUCCACAAGACUUCCCUCGCGACUUUAUCGUAGAUCUUUUCAAGGUCAUGAAAACCGUAUGUGUAACACCCCGUAUCCGAAAACAAACCAAACCAGCAAAUUUCCAGAAGUUGCAGGUGCAACCCAUGGUUGCCACCCACGGUUGCCACCCACGGACCGUAAGGUGACCCACGGCCUAUUCUGGAGGUCUGUGGAUGGCCACAUGCAACCCUCUCCAGAAACUCAGACAAAAACCAUUCUAAGGCAUGACCCAUGGUCGGACAGGACAAAUUGUGGAUCAGUACACGGAUCGUCGAUCCGUCCGUAGGUCAAGACCUUCAGGACCCCUCAGAACCUGGUCCCUGAAGUCGAUCGACGGUCAGACAAGACAAAUGUGUAUCAUUCGACGGACCGUCGAUCGGUCCAUAGGUCAAGACCCUUAGGACCCCCCAGAACCUGGUCCUUUAAGUCGAUCGACGGUCCGAAAGGACGGAUCGUGGAUCAGUCGAUGGACCAUUGAUCCGUCCGUAGGUCAAGACCAUCAGAACCUAGUCUCUGAAGUCGAUCGACAGACUAACAUGACGUAUUGUGGAUCAGUCCACAGAUCAUCAAUCCGUCCGUAGGUGGCUUCAGCAGAUUUUAAGUUAUGGGUUGUUUGGCUUUUUUUCCUAUGCGUUGGACACCUAAACUACGUCGUUUAACCCCUAAACUACGUGGUUUUGGUCAGUUUUAGCCUAGUAAACUAAUUAGAACCUAACCUAAUCAGUUAUUUACCAAAAAUUCAUCAAACUUAGAGCAAAAUAAAGGAGAAAGUCGAGCAGCCCUAGUUCAAGAACGCAACGAGUUUUCAUUAGUUCCAUCCCCGAAAUCGAAAGAUUUCUCCAUGAAUUUCGUCACCACGUAUGUGAAAUUUCACUAAUGGGUUCCUUUCACCCAUUAGGUCCCUAGAAUUCAGUCAGAUUCUUGAUUCCCUUAAUAUUAUCCAGACCUAGAGUUUUUAGAAUGUUAGAAAUUGUUGGGUUUUAGCUGUUAGAAUGAUCCAAAUCAGAUUAUCAUGUUAUUGCUUCGCUUCUUGUAUGAUAUUCAGAACCCUAGCUAUGUAGUUCUUUUAGUUCAUGAAUUACACAUGCUAGGUUAGUUAUUUCAGAUAUACAUGCCUCAUAUUUGAAUGUUUCAUUAUCAGUACAUUAAUGUUGCAUUUUCAGUUAGCAUGUCAGUAUUUUGAGCUAUCCAGUAUUACAGCAGUCAUAAAUUGUUAAUUACAUAAUAAAUUGGGAGUAGCUUAAUAUCAAGUGCACUAGGGUCAGUCACCCUCAAGUCCUAGAACUACGUUCCCCGUAGGUUGUAAUCCCCUCUAUGGGCAUCAUUUUAGUGAUCACACCAGUCAUGCAUCUAUACCUCUGGCAGGGUAUAUUAGGUCCUCUCGAUGAGGCGUAUACAUUGGACUCCACGUUUAGCUCACGUGGUUUUAUGUCGGUUAUUAGUAACUCCCACAGACAGUCAGAUUCUAGUGUAGUGACCAGGUUAUCAGUUACAGUUCAGUAUUCAGUUUCAGUAUGUAUAAACUUGGUCAUUGCAUCCAGUUAGUUCAUGUUCAUUAUUCUCAGUAUAGUAUCAUGCUUAUCUCUUAUUAUUGCUCAGAUAUAUGCUUUGGUUCAGUUAUGUUUAUUGUUCAGCUUUAUUCUAUCAUGCAUGCUCAGUACCUUUCAAGUACUGACGCAUACUCUGCGCUACAUCCUCUCAUGAUGUAGGUUCAGGUUCUCAGCUUCCAGAUCAUGCAUAGAUCGGUUCCCGAUCUUCAGCUCAGCAGCACCAGUGGUGAGUCCUCAUUCUUCGAGGAUGACAUACAUGUUCAUUUGCUUUUAGUCUUAGUUUCAGUUUUUGCUAGAGUUAGUUGGGGCAUGUCCCAACACUUCUAGUCAGUUAGAGGAUAUUUUCAGACAUAGUUAGAUUCAGCUUUAGCAUUUGAGUUUGACCUUUCAGUUGUUGUUAAACUCUCAGUUUAUAUAUAUUCAGAUAGUUUAUGGGUAUCCCCCAUCAUUGCAGUUUAUCUUAUGAUUUAGCUUCCGCACAAUAUUUCUUUACUUCAGUUUACUUUAGUAUGCUUAUGAUGUGCCAACAUGGUUAGCUUGGGGUCACUCGUAAUCCUAGGUCCCGUAUCCGUGUCCAAGGGGUAGCUUCGGGGCAUGACAAUAUGUAAGUCCUUCCUUUUUUCGAUAUUUCUCUAUCAAUCACCUCACCUGAUAGAUGACUUCUGUGGGUGAUUGUCAUGGCAUGAAUCCAAACUGAUUCUUGAAAAUAGACAUACCCCUCAUCUCCAUCACUCUCUUCUAUAUUUUCAUAGAGUUUGACUUAACAACUUAAUUUCUAUAGUUAUUGCAAUUUUAAAUAUCACCAUUGCUCUUGUACAAUGAAAUCAUCGUACUCCACCUCUAUUUUUCGAACAUCUUAGCAGUCCUAAAAAUGACAUUGAACAAGCUAGUUAACAAUUCUAAACCCACUCUAUCCAUGUUCUUCCAAACUUCACUGAAAUCUCAUCUGGUCAUGUCGUUUUUUCCCUUUACAUCCUACUUAUUGCAUGUUUCACCUCUUCCACUUUAAUACAUCUACAAUAUCCAAAAAUUUGAUGCAGUGCUCCAACUUCUCUAGUAUAGAUCGGUAAUUUUCUUUAAAAAUAUUGAUAAUUAUGGAUGCAAAUUAAGCAUUUCAUUUGUAUUAUUUGUGUGUAGUGAAUAAUCAAAUAUGCUAUUGAUGGCGGCUUGAGACAAAAUGACAUUGCGAUGGGUGCCUUGACAAGAAUAAUGAAGACAAACAUAAAGUAAUCAUUUUCUUCAAUGGAUUUUUAAAAUUUUAGGCAAUAUAAUCAUGAAUUUUAUGCAUAAAUAAUCAUAAUAUUUUCAAUAGAAUUAAUUAUCUUUCUAAUGAUUUUUUUCUCCAAAAAUCUUCUUUGGUUGAUCCUCCGAUGAGUUUGAGCAGGAAAAUUAUGAAGUUUAAAUUGAGAAAUUAUUAACCUUUCGAUGUAAACCAUCUUCUUUCCUUUCUAUUACUUUUUAGAGUUCUUCCAUAAGGGUUUGAAUAUGCAUCCAUGGGUAAAGAACUGUUGAAGAAGAAGAUGUCAAAAUAAAGAAAAAUGUGAAAACAUUUUUAAAAAAUUGGGGGGCCACAAAUAAAGAAACAAUUUUUUUUUUAUUAUUGACAUAAUUAACACUUUCUUCACAUAAUCUUUAGGAUCAUGCAUCUCUUCUCCAUAAUCUCCUCAUCAAAUCUACGUCUCGACACAGAGAACCUCUCUAAAACAAUUUUCCAACAAAAAUCUUCUGUCAAAAAUGUUGCGGCUAGAACUACACCCGCCAAGAUGAACACCCAAUUUUUAACCUGGUUCAAUCAUUGAUUAUCGAACCACUGGACCUGUCUCCAUCAUUGAAUCUAGCGCUGAUACCACUUGUUAGGACCGAACAUAAGCAGGUGUAAUGCGGAAGCUAGCAAAGCAAACCUUGAAAGACCAUGAGUAAGAAGACAAACGAGAAAUAUACCAAAAGACACAAAGAUUUAACGUGGUUUGGUCAAUCGACCUACGUCCACAAAGGAGAUGAGCAAUCCACUAUAAAUAUGAGAGUACAAAAUAUAGAGAGAAAUAACAUCAACCAAUUCCCUCGGAAUACAAGGAGGUUCACAAAAUUCUCCCCCACAACCAAAACUCUAAAAACCCUAGGACUACAUUGUGAAAUCUGAUUAAGUUAGAAGGAACAAGCCUAUACUUAUAGAGUCCUAAAACUUUUCCUACAAAAAAAAAACUAGUCAAAAUAUUAAAACAUUUUCCUAAAAGGAAAACCUAUUUAUGGUAAGAAAUCAGGGUAAAUAAACCCCAACAGAAAUUAUAAUACUAAUUAUAUAAUGAUCAAUAAGAUAGUGUCACAUGUUCAAAUUUGUCUUUUCACAUUUUUUUUCUUCUUCUCACGCACCUUAAGGAAGGUGAAGAAACUUUCUCUACCAUGUCAUCUUCAAAGGGAGCAUUAAUACCACUUUAAACAAGUUCAGGUGUGUAAUAGAUCAUGAGAAUAGUUUAAAUGUGUAUCUGACUUUUCGAGACAAGUUCGGGGGGAGGGGGGAGAAUCUAUGCCUUUUCCCUUUAAAAUUUUACAAACUUAUUUGUAAAUUUUAAAAAAAAUAUUAUUUUAAGAAAAAAUUAAUUAAUUUUAUUUUGAUUUUAUAAAUUGAUAAGUGAUUUGAGAUAAUUAACUUAUGGUGAUGUAAAUAACUAAGGGAGCAUGUGAGAAGUUAAAAUAGAUUGAAAAUGUGGUGUCCUUUAUGUUGAAAAAAGCUGCCAUGUCGAUGAUGAGUGGGUCCAUGUGAUCAAAUAUUUCAAUUUCCAACUUCAAAUUCUUGACUUUGACCCUUUUCUUGCCUACAAAUCUCCAAGAGCCUUCAAUUGAAUAUGCUGCCAACUGCAAAAGAAUUGUUUAUCAACCACUAACAACAUGCCACGUCAACAUCCAUGUUAACUAGAUCUUGACCAUAUUUAAGAAUGUCAUGGGAUCAACUUGUUCCAAUAAUUCACUUAAUUUAGAAGAGGAACCUAAUAUUAUAAAAUGAAAAAAUUAGACACAAAAUGACCAUUAUGCCACUUUAGAUCAAGGUCCAUGUUUGAAGCACUUCCUCCUCCUUCUUCUUCCUCCUCUUUUCUUGCUUUCAUUCCUUCCUCAUUCUUUUUUCAUAUUUAGACUUUAAAAUUCAAAUUUAAAUUUGGAUGUACCGCAAAUGAGAAUAGUGGAUAAAUAUUUAAAAACUUGAAGUAUUGAGAGGAGCUUAUAUAUAUAUAUAAUAGGAUUGUUUAGAGGAGAUUUGAGUUGGUCCGGAUUGGAAGACUCCAUGUCCAGCCAUUAAAAUGGCCUAAUUUUAAAAUAUGAUGUGCCGCAAUCGUGAAUUGUUUCGAGUGAAUAAUAUAUCAAAAGUCUUGAAACGUUAAGAGGAGCUCAUAUCUGAAAUUUGAAAUUGUUUAGAGGAAAUUUUGAGUUGGUGGGAUUGAAAGAUUCCAUUAGCCAUUAAAGCUUCUUCACAACUUCAUUUUAAAAUUCAACAUGCCGCAAAUGUGAAUAGUUUCGAGUGCAUAAUAUAGCAAAAGUCACGAGAACAUUGAGAGGGGGUCAUAUUUAAAAUGUAUGUUGCUUAGAGGAGAUUUAAAUUGGUUGGGAUUGAAAUUGCAAUGUAUAAAUAUUGUAUAAACAACGUAUAUGAAUGUAUAUACAUCUUUAAUACAUAGUUAUACAUCACAUACACAUAGAGGCGAAUCCAUGAUUUGAAGACUUCGGGUGCACCAAAUAUGAUCUUUAAGCUAAACUUAAAAUAAAAACAAUGAAAUUGUGCUCUAGUUGGGUUUGAACCCGGUCUCAUGGGUGGUUCUUCUAUCUUGUACCAGCAGCAAAAGAGCACUCCUAUACUCCUUCGGGGUGCAUUGGUAAAUAUAUCUUAAUUUCUAUCAGUUUCUUAAGAUAGAUAUACAUAUAUACACAUGAUUUUUUCCUAAGUUAAUGGGUGCACAUGCACCCCUCCUGGGUCCUCCUCUCUCUCUAUCUCUCUCUCUCUAUAUAUAGUAUACAUUAUUUAUAAAAUAUAAAUACGUUACAUAUACGUUAUGUAACUAUUUUUACAAUAUUGAUACAUUACAUAUACAUGUGACUAUAUUUGUUGGUUUUUUUUGUCACCCACACAAUUACUUAAUUUGGCCCUUAUAAAAUGGCUCUAAAUAUAAUGUGCACCUUUCUUCUCUACUUUAAGAUAUAACGGAAUCUCUUAAACGUACACAAGAAAAGAGAUGACAACUACACAAAACAAAGAUAAUUAUAUUUGUCCUUGAUCAAUUGUAAUUUUAACACGAUGAAUUAGGAGUCGCUGUAAACUAUUCUGUGGAGGAAGCUCGUGUAACACAUUUUCUGUUUAAUGGAUUGUAAUUCUAUUGUUGAAUUUCAAAGAUAAAAUUUACAAAUAAAAAUUCAUUUUGCGAAUUUGGGGUAGGAAAAGGGAAAAUGAGGGAGGGGAUUACAAAAACGAGAAAUUGAACCCUCGUCAAUAAAGUGAAAGUUCAAAUAGUCAAUCAACUGAUCUAUUAAGAUUCUCAUUAAAUUCACACUUAGCAUAAAAUUUAAGAAAUAAAUUUUUUUGACACACAAAGUAUCCUUAUUAUCGUGUCAUCUACAAAAUCUUAUGUCACUCCUAAAAAACAUAUCAUUUACGAAAAAACUAAACCACUCCGAUCCUCAAAGCAUGAACACAUGCAAAACCACAUUUUCAGAGAUAUCCCAUAAGAUUAUUUUAUCACACUUUUUAUGGAAUUACUCAUCCCACCAUUUACAAUAUAAAAUAAUUCUACGACUAAGUAAUGCUCAUUAUCAAAUACAAAAUAAAAUAAUCUCAUAAAAUAUUAUGAGAUUAUUAUCCCUAUUUUACCCACUAAACAACCUUUAAUUGUGUAUAGUCUCUAAUCAUAAAUAGAGUUACAUUUUUUGCAUAUUCGCAUUAGUAGUUUAAUCCAAAGAUGUGAGAAAUAUGAUAGGAGGGGAGGGGUUACAUUUGAAUAAUUGAAUGUCAAAUGAUUCUAAUUAGUAAUUACCAUAACCUGUUAAGCCAUUUAAUUAAAAUUUUAAGUGUGAUUUUUCUAUUAAUAUAUAUAUGAAUUGAUAGUAUAAAUAUGAAAGCGAAACAAUAGUUUAUUAGAAAUUGUUUUUAAUUCUAUAGUACACAUAUACUUUAAAAAAUCGAGUUAGUUCCAAAAGAAUAAAUACAAAAUGUCAACAAAGUUGAAUUAAAGUAGUUGAUGCCAAAUCCAUAUAGAUUUGAAACCAGUAGAGGUGUGACAAGCACUCUUUAAGUCAAGACAAAUAUAGGGAAUUUCAUUUUUUUUCCUAAGUAUAUAGGCUUAUGCUAUUCUUGGAGACGUGAUCUAGUAAAAAAAUAUUGGUUGUGAUUGGAGGCACGUCAUAUUAGUUGGAAGUCUCCCUCUGAUUAAUCUUUUUAUUUUAUUCCAAUCCAAAAUAGUGCUAUUCAUGCAUGAAAGUAAAUGGAUUUUUCUUCCGGAAAACAACAGUUCAAUAGUAUAUGAAAAGAUGUGCCCUGUCAAAAGGGAGGAACUUGUGGUUCUGAUUACAUUUAUUCAAGUUUCUUUCAAUAUCUUUUAGGCCCAUCGCAGGCCAGAAAAAUGCAUUUCAUGUCUAUCUCAUUCAAUGGAAAAGAAGAGGACAAAGAAUAAUGAUGUUAUAAUCCAUAUUAAACUUGACUAGGGCAUUAGUUUGGAUCGCUGAAGAAACCGUUGAUUGAUGGCAUAAUCUCCGGAGACUUGUUUCGAACAAACUUCCUUAGAGCAUGCUCUGCAUAUUUCUCCCCUUCUGAAAAAUUAUCCAGCACUCCUGCUGCCCUGUUUUCUGGUUGGUGCAUAUAUUGCAUUCCACAGAUCCCUACAGCAACGCCUACGGCUGCAAAAAGUGGAUACACCUCGGGCCUCAGCCAUCGGAAGCCAUAGAAAAACGGGGGAAAGAACACGCAAACUUUACGAUCUUUUUGAGACUCUUGAUGAUGAUGACCUGAUUAAUCUUUUUUUAAUUUACCUUCUUAUGUAUUUAAAAUUUAAAAUAAUGUGACACAAAUUAUACUUGUUCACUAAAAAAUACAUACUAUUUUUAUAUCUUGAAUUUGCCAAUUCGGGCUCGUGCUUUAGCGCGGUAGUAAAAAUGAGCAAAAAAAUAAUCAAAGAAUAUUUUUAACAAAAUAGGUAAAUAAAAGCUAUAUUUAGACCUUAAAUCGUAUUAGACAAGUUCUAUGCGAUACGCUCGACUCAGACAGGGGCGAAGCUACGUAAGUCCAAGGGAUGUCACGUGACACUGCUUCGUCAGAAAAAUUUACUAAAUAUAUGUAUAUAAUUAAAGGCAAAAGGAGAAAUAGUGAAUAUAUUAUAUACAGUGACACUCCUUGACACAAACGGGACACACAACUUAGCUGGUCAGACACGUGAAUUCGAAGGGCUAGGUUUUGUGUUCAAAUGUAGAUCUUGUAAUUUUUUUAUACAUUUGAAGUUCUCCAUUCACCCAUCUUAUAUGCUUAUUUUUUAUGUUUUUUUUUUUUCCCUUUUACCUUCUUUCUCACUAAUGAAAUUAAUUAAAAAUAAUUUAUGAAACAUUUAAUAUUAUUAAUUUUAAAAAGUUUAUUUUGAAAAAUAUUUCUUUUUAGAAAAGGUAUAAUAGUGAGCGCGAAUUGUAUUUUAUUUUUUUCUUUCAAAAAAAAAAAAUGACAUCACAUUAUUUUAUUUAUCGUGUUUCAUUUUAAAAGGUGACACCCUUUAUAAAAAUUCUACGUACGCCACUGGACUCAGAAGACAUUGAAAGGAGAUAGAUCUCAAGUCAUUCGUGUGGAUGAUCACCCUCUAAACCAACUGAGUCAAUCCCAAAAGGACCUUGAUUUCAAAGGUAUCAUACAAGUUUCUUUUGUCAUGACAUGAUUGAAGUAUCAAAAUAAUGGCUUACACCAUGUUGCGAGAAAUUUUGAACAAAGUUAAUUUUUUUUUAUAACUUUGACAUGUUUAAUUUUUUUUAAAAUAGAGUCAUCACUUAAUUUUAAAAAAUUAAGAAAAUUAUUUUAAAGUUAUUUUUUUAAAUAAAAUCAAAAUUGGAAAAGGGUUCGAAUUAUUUUCAAAAGAAGGUGUGAGAUACUUUUGAAAACCCACAAAGUGACACCCAACGGAUUUAAACAUAAACAUUUUUUUCGCUAAAUUAAGAGAAAAACUUUAUACAUAAAAACAAACCUUAUUUGAAGUGAAAAUAAAUUAUUUUUGAAUUCAUUAAAUACUUAAACCAAAAUUCAGUAUUCGAAACUAUUUCAUACAUGUAUUAUGUAAAAGAAAUUUGGUAAAACAAAUUGAAGCAACAAUUUCAUGUGUAUGAGUAUUUGUUGUAUCAUUGAUAAAAAGAAAAAAAAAAAAUCAAAUAUCUUCUCAUUUUUCCUAGCAUCAGAAAUCUUUUUCCAUAAAUAUAUAUAAUCUUAACUCAGAUAUAUAUACACUUUAACGAAUACAUAAACUUUUAAUUAGAUAUAUAUGUAUAUUUUAUCGAAUACAUGUACGUCAAAUCAGAUAUAUAUUUUGAUCACUAUCUCUCUUUCUCUCCCCCUUUGUCUCUCUCUUCUCUCCGGCAAGAGACCAGCGCCACCUCACUACUCGUUUCCUAACCAUCAAAAACACAAUUGAACCAGUGGGGAAUCCUCUGUUCCUCUCUGCUCUUCUCCUCACCACCAAUACCCCAACAAGCCAUCAAAAUCCCAACUAUACUCCGUCUCUAGUAGAUCUCAAGGAAAUGCCGGUGAAAAGCAAUACAAUCAUCCUUAUACUUUCUUUUGAAUAUUCCUACAUGUGUAAGGUAUUAGUAUAAUAUAAUUAAGACGUUUCAUAAAAAUUCAAAGACAUAAUAUCCUAUUGAAUGAGUAGACAUAAAUCAAAGUCAAAUAAAUAAUGAAUAUCAAUUACCACAAGCUAAAUAUCAAAAUCGAACUUUCAAAUACCAUACUAUACCAAAUUAGUUUGACAUGAUAAUCAUGUAAUAUUUUUAAGAAAAUAAAAUUAUCGAAUCAAAAUUCUUAAUAUCCGUACCAUAUCCACCCCCACCUACAAGUUAGUAAAGUGGGUGUAAACUUUUGUGACCAGAAGGGGAAAAAAAGGGCAUUAAUUUUAUCACGAUUCACGACCUAGAAUUUACGAACGAGAUAAUCGCAUUAAUGUACUAUAUAAGACUUAAUACGGGAAUAACAUGAGUUUUCACUUUCAAAAUAUAACAAUAUAAUUUUAUCAAAAUCUAACAAAGAGGUUUAAAAAAAUGGUAAAACUAUUUUCUUAAAACAUGGAAGUAACAUUCUCCCUUGAUAUUUAUUCCAUAAAUUUCUCCAAAAUUUUUGCAUUCCUCUAUUCUCUCCUUUGAAUAAAAAUACAAAGGCAUGCUAAAUUAUUAUUUCUCCUUCAAAUACGAUAACCAAUAUUUUGCUUGACAUUUAUCCCAUAAAUUUCUCCUAAAUUUUUGUCUUCUAAUAUUCUUUACUUAGAAUAAAACAAAAGGCAUGACAAAUGUUUUUCUCUUCAAAAACGAUAGUCAAUAUUUUUCAUGUCACUUAUUUCAUAAAUUUCUCUUAGAUUUUUGUCUUUCCUUGCUCUCGAAAUUUUUUAUUAUAUAUGAGACAUGUCAAAUCAUACUUGUAUAAGGCAUUAUUUGAUUGAUAAAUGGACUGAAACCUAUCUGUCAAGUGACAAAGGGCAUCUAUUAAGUCCUCUACGCCUUUUUUUUUUGUUUUACACUAUUUCAAUAUACUUUUUGUUUUCAUUUUUUUAAAUGUCUUUUUCAUUCUUAACUAAUCUAAUUAGUUUGUGUUUUUUUUUUUUUUUUUACACUUAUAUUUCAAUAUAUUUUUUGUUUCCAUUUUUGUAAUUUUUUUUUUCAUUCUUAACUAAUCUAAUUAGUUUAUGUUUUUUUUCUUUUUUUUAUGUAGGGGAUUUUGAUUUAAUUUUUUAUGAUCAUUGUAUAAGUUUUUAUUCUAUUAUAUUAAUUUUUUUUCUAUUCUAUGUUAUUUAUUCAUAUUAUAAUAAAUAGUUGUCUGUAUUUAAUUUUCCGUUUAUAAAAUCAAGAUACAAGUAAUUUUUUUUAAUUCUAACAAUUAUUUUUUGUUUAAAGUAUAAAUGAAAUUUGUAAAGUCGCAAAAAGUCUUUUAAGGAAUAAAUUAAUAAAAUUAUCAUUUUUAUUUAUAACUUCCUAAGAAACGUGUAAGGAAAGUAGAUAAAUAAAAUAUUUAUUAAAUUUCACCUAGCUUGAAUUUAAGGAAUAAAAGAUAUAGUAAAUAUUGACGGAAAGAUUAUGUAUUUAUGUGGGUGUUUAUGGAUAUUUUUCAUUUUUGAAUUUCGUGAAAAUAGUAUCAAAACUUACGCAAUUGUUUGUCAAAUCAUUGAUGCUCUUUCCGUUAUAUUUUCUUAUUGAAGAAUAUUUGAUGGAUUUGAAGUGCUUAUGAAAACAUGAAAUUUUCUAGAGAAGAAAAAAAAUAACAAAUUAAUUUUAUACCUUCUUUGUUUUUCAUAUUAAUAAUCUACUCUUUUUUUUACGAAUUUCUUAAGAAAUCAUAAAUAAAAUAAAAGUUUUACUAAUUUAUACCUUAUUGUUUUUUAACUUUAUAAAUCUUAUCUACACUUUCAAAAAGAAUUACUAUAAUAACAUAGAAAAUUUGUAAUUAAUUAUAUCUUAAUUUGUAAAUUAACAAAUAAUUUUAUAUAACUAUUUUUAAAAAUAUAAAUAAUUAGUAUCGAGAUGGAAAAAUAAUGUCAAAAUGUUAGAAAUAGAAUGAAUCAGGCAAGCAUUUUUUGAUUUCAUACUUUUCAUGAAUAAAAUUAUUGAAGUAUGGAAGUGCAGAAUUUGGAACAAUGGUUGGAAAAGAAAUCAAACAAAAAAAAAGUAAGAGGGGGAAAAUGUCAUAAAGAAAGAGAGAGAAAGGGGAAUUUUGGCCAUUUUUUGAAAUGGGACCCAAUUAUCCACUUGUCAAAAAAUAAAUAGAGCCUCAUACAAGUUUUGUUUACCACAUCAUAUAUGUGCCUCAUUCAUUACUUAAUUAAAUUCACUUCAUUAAGAAAAUCAGUUUGUAUUUAUGGGGAAAUAUCCCCUCUAAUGAAAGUAUAUCCAGUAUUGUUCAGUAACUUUGUUGAAUUUUUUGCCAUAUGUCCAUCCAAAUCUUCUAUGAUUGAGAUUCAAUCUUGUUCUAUAUAAUUGAAACUGAUAAAAUUAUUAUGGACAUAAAUAAUAAAAAAUUACUUUAGGCUAACGACAAUUGUAUCGUCCCAAUUCAUUAUGUUGUUAUUAACAUACUGACGAUAAAAUGUGAGUUUGAAAAUUGAGUUAUCUAGCCAAGAUAAGUUGGGCUUCAUCCCGUCAUGGCUAACGAAAAUUUUCUUUUAUGCAGGAAAAAAUUGGGGGAUGUCGCCUAGGAUCACUAUAGCUAUAGCGGGAACUGUUGUAGAUGGUCUUAAGUCGUUAGAGUAGACAAUGGCCCCAAGGAAAUUAACCUUUUUUUCUUUUUAGUCCAAAUUUUAAAAAGGUUGACUCCUCCUAAAAAUGCCUUAGGGCUAUUCUUAAGGAAAAAUCCUUAAUAACAUAGAGGCAAGUCUCUCAAGAAACGCGUAUCAAGACCUCGUCUUUACAAAACUCUUCUCUAGUCUCGCUAGAACUUAAUCAAGAGACGAGAAUUCAUGUGCUCCACAUCAACAAUUUGGCAUUCAAGUGAUCAAUAAUUUAUGAUUAGUAAACUAUGAUUAGAAGACACACACACAUAUAUAUAUAUAUAUAUAUAUAUAUAUAUAUAUAUAUAUAACCUAGAUUUGAUGGGAGAAUCAUAAUUAGGCAUGUGGGCACCAUGUUUGAACGUGCACAAGUAGACACUUAGACUUAUAUAAAAUUAAGCAAAUAUACACAUUCGUCUUACAUGACAAUUUUGUGUCCUACAUGAUGUCCUACGUGUAUUGUGCCAUGUAGGCCACUUGUGUCUACUUGUUCAAUUUUAUAUAAGUUUAAGUGUCUACUUGUGCACAUUCAAAGUUGGAGGUCAUAGUUCUUCGCUGAAACCAAGUAAAGGGUCAUGUAUAUGUAGUAUGUCAAACAUUUAUGAAUCCUUUGAUAAGUGUUUUAUAAGGUGAAUAUGUAAAUGUAUGUAACACUAGAGGAACAACAUGAACUUGUAACCUCAGAAUUAGGUAUAAUUACCAUUAACAAGGGUGCACUUGUCAUAGUGAGGGUGUAACCUUAUUACUUAAUCAUUACUAGGCUAUUGAUCAUGAUAAGAGCAGAAGAAUUCGUGUGGUUAAUAGGAGUUAGACUUGAUUUAGAUUCAUGUAUACUCUAAAGUUGAAUGUUUGUUGAUUGGUCUUCAGACAUGAUUAAGAGCCUGUUUAGAUUAACUUUGACUUAUUUUUAUCAUAUUAGCUUAAAAUCAAAUUCUUAUAAAUACUUUUUAAAUUUACCUAAACACUCUAAAAAUAGUUAAAAACUAUUUUUUACUUAAAAACACUUAAAUAAGUCAAUUCAUGCAGGCUGAACUUGAUGAUGUGAUUUUGAUGCUUAAAAUUGCAUGGGUUAUCACUUGAUGAAAUCAUUGAAUUCCUUGUGUUAUAAGUAUAUUUAUAACUAUCGUAUAGUGAGUUUUAUGUGUGAGAGUCGUAAUGAUAACAUGGGCAUUAUAGUGUGACAAGUGGCUUGAAGUUGAGGUGAUCUUAUGGACGAGUGUUAUAUAUAUAUAUAUAUACACACACACACACCUCACCGCUACAUAUAUAUUUUUCAUAAUUUGGUGGGUCGGAUACCACACUGGUAUGGUACAUGAACGAAGUUGUUCCGCUGCAAUUCAUGAUUAUUUGACAUAAAUAAGACCCUUAGUGUGUGUACACUUUAUAAUUGUUGUGUGAGUUGUUAUUGAAUUUUAUGAGUUGUUUGAUAUGUUGAGAUACUUGAUGACUAUUUUACCUGUUAUAUGACAUGAUUUAAUCUGUUAUGGCUAUACUUGUUUUUUGAAGAAUUAUUGCUAUGUGUUGCAUGCAUGAUUAUAUAGUUGGUGUGGCUAAUCACUAAAUAUACUUAUCGUAAAAUAAAGGCUUAAGGGUUAUAAUGUUAAGUUUGAUGACUGAGGGUGAGUGGGGUGAUAUAUGAUGUUCAUGUUAAGUUUGAUGGCAGAGGCUUGAGGGUUAUAAUGUUAAGUUUAAUGACUGGGGCUUGAGGGUCAAUCAUUAUGGUGUAUUGAUAGUACUCUUGCUACAUCCUUUGUGGGGUUUAGAUAUGUUGCAGAUUGACUAGAAGUCUCUUAUGUGAAGCGGUGAAUAAUCAUUCUCAUAUUUUGUGUAUUUCUUUCUGGCGAAAGUUAAGUCUUUUCUUGUCGUAUUCUAUUUAGAGGCUCUUAUACAUACCUAGAAUAUAUCUUAAAAGUUUGUUGUUAGGAUGUAAUGACCCGAUCCGUCAGUAUUCAAGUGCACCUCGCGCCAAGUCCCAUUUUUUUGAAUUUUGAUGCCCAAUUAAAAAUUGGAGCAUAUAACAAAAUUAUUUAAAAUUAGAUUGAUCUGGACUGACGUCUACCCACCUUAGAAGGAAAUCUUCCGCUAUGGCGGCGCCACUAUAGCACCUGCAUGACCGCUAUAGUGGGGCUGACGAGAUCAACCCCUAAUUAAUUCAAUGUUUUUUAUUUUCCUCACUUUACAAGGAGAAAAUAAGCGAGGGUUACUCUAAAAAUUUCCCCAAUCCACCUUAAGCACGAGGGCAUGAACGGGAGAGAUGUUCGCACAAGUAAGGGCAAGACCCAAUAAUUUUUAGUCCACACUCGUCAGGGUUCACCCCAAAGAGUUGCAAUCAGAGUUCUUCAAAUGUUGUUUGGCGCUCAGGUAGACUAGAACUUCUUAACUAAGUAGUUAGACCUAUAUCUACCCAUGUGAUAUUGUGUAGACUAUCGAGAGAUAUACAUGCAUAAUUCUUCGGGCACAGAGUCUAGAUGGUAGAACUUUUGGCAUAAUUCUUUAGGCACGGAGUCUGGAUGGUAGAACUUCUGAUUAAAUGUGGUUAGGUUGAUGAUGUAUGUCACAAUCCAAGGGUACUCCCUAGAUGUAACAAGGGAUAUAGAACCCCGGAGGACUCCAUAUAAGUCACUUAGCAUAUCAUAACAUAAAGUACUAGAAUAAUAAAGAGUAAAACAACAUUUAAGUCCAAAACAUCUUUAUAGAAAAACGGAAGUCUAACUCAUGUCUCAACAUAGUCAUCUAUUACAAUAGAAUGAAAGUGGGCCUAGCCCACACAUCAUGUUCAAAAAGGAAAUACAAAAGUGAAACUACAAUAAGGAAAGUCCGUCCUCGAACCAUAAGGACUCACCAAGCUCGGAAAGAAAUCAAAGUCCAAGCUCUAGCCACUAGAAUGGAAACCCUGCCUGUCGGACCCUACAUUUGGGAGAAUGUAGGAAAUAGUAUACGUUAGUAAAAAAAUGCACUAAGUAUGAUAGCUUUGCAUAAAAACAUGCAAAUCAUGCUAAAAAGGACAUUUUAUUUCAUGAUAUGCAAUUUACCAAGUUUAAACAUCAUAGUAGAAAUAAUUGAAAACAUAGGUCAUAACAUCAUGGUCAAUGCAAGCUAAAUCAUCUUUAAGUCUUUGAAACACAUAUGACAUACUUCCUUAAUUAACUUUAGUUCAUUAGUCAUCUUAUUGUGGGAGAAUUAGCCUUAACCGAUAUAGAGACCAUGUGAGCUAAAACAUGAUCACCCGGUGUCUCCCACACCGAAAAGGGUUGUUCUACUUGCCUAAGGUAGAACCAUAAACUUCUAGCUUAAGUGGAUCCACUAGCUAAUCAACUUAUGGGGGGACAUAGUUAUGGGAUAAGGAGAUUUCUACUAGAAACCCGGCCUCUACUCACGGGAGAGCUUCCAUCUCAUGAGACUUUUUCUAGAAACCCGGCCUCUACUAGCAGGAGAGCUUCCAUCUCAAUGUCAAUAACCACUCGGUGCUAAGUAUAAUUCCCACGGAAUAGUAGUUUCUUACUUAUUCUCAUUAUCCAUGGAAAGGCAUGUCAUUUUGCCAAUCUAACUAGUUCAUUAGGAUAGCUCUCAUUCAUUGAUUCAAUUAGGUGAGAAUAGCCUUUCAACCUAAGAAUCCUUUCUAUGUGAUAAAACCUUUCACAUCAUGGUUGUAAGUGUUUUAUGAGAUAUCCUUUCAACAACACAACAACAACAACAACAAUAUAGACACUUUACUCUCAAAGCACCCUUAAAGCAUUUACAUAGGUUUCAUAAGAUCAUGCAUAAACUCAUACAUUUCCCUUUCAAGGUUCAAAGCUACUUCCAAUCACCAAAUCUAGAAUUCUAGCAUUAGAUAGGGAUUUUAUCACAAAUUCAUGUAAUUCUAUUACUUCAUGCUUUCGAUCACAAAACUCAUCUUUCAUAGUCAACAACCCAACUCUAUGAGAUCACAAUUCGAAAAACAUGGAGGUUUGCAUGGGUUCAUAGGGGAAACAUCAUAAAAUCAUUGUAAAUCAUAUAUUCAUGCAUAUUUAAACAUAAUUCAAUCAUUAAGAUCAAUAAUCAAAAGAACCCAUGAUGUUUGAGGAAAAUCUUAGCUAAUUGGGGAAUCCUAUCAUAUGAAAUAUAGGAAUUGGGGACUCCAUGGGUGGAAGGAACCCAUGGAUGAAAGCUACCAUACCUCAGGUCCAUUUGCCUAUCUUCAAUAGAGAAUAUGGAUCCUUAGCUUCAAACCCUAGUUGAAUCUUCUUCUUCUUCAAGUUCUAGAGGGAGAAUAUUUGAGAGGAGUUGGUUUUCUUUUGAGAUUUAAGAAGAAUGAAUUAAAUGGGGUGAAUUUGGGGUAAAAAGACUUAUAUAGGGGUUCUAAAUAUAGGCAAAAUGACAUAGUAUAAAAAUUAAUUAAUUAAGAAAAGACUCAACUGAACUUGAAAUUAACUGCCAGGUGACCAUCCAAGGGCCCAGUCGACGGACCGUGGUCUGACCCACGGCCCAUCUUAGUGGACCGUUGGUCACCAUCAGAGAGGGUGAUCUCCGGGGUCUCGAACCAUGGACACCUGACCAUGGACCGUGGUCUGACCUACGGUCCAUAUGUCGUGUGGUGGCCUUGAGCCCUUAAAUCUUACCAGGCAUGCCAACCACGGACCACCCCUAUGGUCCAUGGUCCACUCCACGGGCCGUGGGUGGCCGGCGUGGUCUGGCACCUGUAACUUUCUGUAAAUCUGCUAUUUUGGUCUUUUUGAAUAUGGGGUGUUACAAUGUAACUGAUUAGUUGUGAUUGGCCUAUUGAUGUUGCUGAGUGUUAUUUUGGGGAAGAUAACAGUGCGUAAUCAGAUUUGAGCAGGAAAACUUUGGAAAGGAAUCUUUCGGGUAGGGGAUAGUUGUUUCUUUCACAUGUAUGCUUUAGGCGCUUGUUAACCGCAUCAUUAGUAAUGCAUACUUGAUAGGUGAUCGGGAUGUUGGAAAGGAAUAAUAUGAAGUGAAAGAUGUUGUCAAUUGCGUGCAAUGAGUGUAUUACAUGAAUGUACAUGUGUUUUUUGUAAUUUUGUGGUGGUGUCCUAUUAUGUAUAUAUAUUUACUAGAUCAGGUGCCACGCCGACACACACACAUACACAUAUAUAUAUAUAUAUACACACAUAUAUUAUUAUUAUUUGAUUGGGUUCCACGCGGGCACACACAUUUAUACUUAUUAGAUUGGUGUCUUGCCAGCACAAACUUAUUAUUAUUGGAUCGGAUGUCACACUGGCAUAUAUAUAAUUAUUGGAUCGGAUGCCAUGACGACAUAUAUAUAUAAAUAUAUGAUCGCAUGUCACACUGACACAUAUAUUACUAUUAAGUUGUGUGUCACGCCGACCUAUAUAUAUACAUAUAUUAUUGGAUCGGGUACUGCACUGAUACAUGUAUAGUUGUGGGUGGUUUGUUCCAUAAGGUACUGGUUUGUGUGUUUAAAAUUUAGAAUGUUCUCUUGUGUGGAUCGGGAUGACAUGUUAAAUGUUGUAGGUGAUGACUUCGAAUUCUUGAAGUUCGGGAAAUUUUAUAAUAAUGGAAUGAAAUUGGUUAUUUAUGUUUGGUAAGUUGGGAUACUCAUUCACAUACUGUAUAAUGGAAGUGUGUGAGGUAAGGAGUGACAAGAAGUAGCAGUAUGAUGUUUGGGGAAUUAUUGUGAAAUAAAAGGGUUACGCUAUAAUCUAGUGUGAAUGGAAUUGGCAGUGGAGGAAAUAUGAUGUGUUGAGUUUGACUUAAGGACUACAUGUAGUAAGGGUGGUGAAUUAGUACACCGGGGCCCUAAAUUUAUAUUCAAUAUACAUGGUUCUUUGGAUAUUUUUGCAUGAUAUUAUGUAGUGGGGUAAGGUCGAUUGAUGAUGCCUACCAAUACAUGUUGUUUGUACUGAUACUCCUCUUUCGAUGUCACUUGGCAUAGUCUAGUUGUAGGAUUCAAUAAUGUUUCAUAUGUGAAGAUGAUGAUCUUCUACUAUUCUUUCCUUAUGGUGGGAACUAUCUUAUUUCUUUUUAUGCAUUGUAUAUUCUUAGUAGAUCUUGUACCUAUUUAAACUAGCUCCUUGGGAAGGUUUUACAAUUGUUUGUAAAAAGAUAAUUCUUAUAAUAUAGUUUAUGUUUAUUCAAGAAUUAUCUUGAAAAAUAAUUCUUCCUGUUUUCUCUCAGCGCAUGUUAAGCAAGGCUAGCUAACGUUCACUCAUCGACAAUGGGAAGAACCCGGAAGAACAAAACUCAGGUAGCGAAAAACAACAUGAUCAAGGAAGCAGUGCAGGCCAGUCAAUCAAAACUGAAAACACCAAUUUCGGGAGGGGCUGGAGGAACGAAUGGAACAGUAACACCGGUAAACUCACAUCUAAUGAUAGAGAAGAUGAAGAUAAGGUUGGGGUCAGGACCGUCUGAGGAAUUUCCAAAAGUAGGGGCUCUGAGCUUAGAUCCAAAUUUGGAUGAGGCCAAGGGUACAGAAGCAACAAGGAAAAAUGAGCAUAGGGUACCAGGGAGGAAGACUUAGAAGGGGCUAUUUCAAGCUACAAACCUAGGAGCAAAGGGGAUGGAAUUGAGCUUUGUACCUCCAGUGCUCCAAGAAGGAAAACCGGUGGUGAAAUUAAGCAAGGAAGAUGUAGAAAUCAGGAGUGAAAUAUGGAGUAAUGCUGUCAUACUCUAUAUGAUAGGCAACACACAAAUCCAUUGGAGCUAUUAUGAGACUCAUUGCAACAGAGUGGUACUUCGUGGCGAAACCCAAAGUAUACCUGCAUAAUUAUGGUUUUUUUGUUGUGAAGUUGAAUAACAUUCAUGAUAAGAACUCCAUCUUAGUAACAGGUCUACACAUGUUCAAUAAUCGGCCUAUCAUAUUGAAAAAGUUGGACUGCUGAUUUUGAUUUUAAUAAGAAUGUAUUGAGAUAUAUUCAUUUUUGGGUGCAAUUCCCAAAUUUGCCGUUGCAUUACUGGGGAUUGGCUGCGUUGAGUAAAAUUGGUAGUGCUCUGGGGAAGCCUCUGUAUGCGAAUGAAUGUACGUCAGGAUUUGGGAAAAUAUCCUAUGCUAGGUUGCUCAUAGAAAUGGAUGUUACUAAGCCGCUACCAAGACUUGUAGAGAUUUUUUAUCCAAAUGAUAGUAAGAUGCAACAGAAGGUGCAAUACGACUGGGAGCCAAUCUAUUGUACUACGUGUUGUAUUGUUAGACAUAGUUGUACUGAGCUCCAUAAAAAAGAACAGAGGAACGAGGAAGGAUACAAGCAGCAGUGCAGGGAUAAAGUAGAGCAACAAUGGAAGCCACAAGAAAGGAAUCCUAUGGAAACUACAGGUGUCCAGACUCAAAAAACAACAAAUCAGAACACACACUACUAGAAAUUUGAUCUAUUGCCACAGUUCAUGUACCAUUGCAAUAGACUUUCCUACCGUAGCCAUUGGUCUAACGCCACGGUUAAAGCAACCGCUACAACAGAUCGCAUAGCAAUAGAUCUGUUGCUACGGUUAUGUGCGACGGUUCAAAAAACCGUAGCAGUAGAUAGACCUAUUGCCACAGUUUUAAUUUUAAUAAGUUGCCAACGCUUAGUGUCGUAUUGCUACGGUUAUGAACCAUUGGAAAAGAGUUUUGUACAUCAGUUCUUUUGAGGCUAUGGCUACAGUUUUUUUUUCUAUUCAAAAACCAUUUCAUUCUAUUGCGACGGUUGUUAUAGGGUAAUGCAACAAUUUUUAACGAAUAUAAAUGUUGUUCAAUGGCUAUUGCUACGGGUAUUACAGAGUAAUGCGAUAGCUAUUACAUGGUAAUGCAACGGUUAUUACAAGGGACUGCAACAAUUUCUUAAUAUAUAUAUAUAUAUUAUUGGUGCACUUCCAUAAAUAUUAUAUUAUUGAGAUAUUGUAGUAAUUUUAUAACAUAAAAUACACAUAAAUCGUUCACGAGAAGAAAUGUUCAUUACCAAAAUUAUAAUUCAAGAUCCAUAAAACCAAAAUAUAUAUACAACUAUUUUUUUACCAUUCAAAAAAGGUGAAACACAAACAUGCACCACACAGUUUUCAAUCUUCAAAAAUAAAAGAUUUCUAGAACAUCAGUAAAGUUAACAUUAACAAUAUUUCAGCUUCUAUGUCAAGUCUUCACUACUGCUUUCAUCGCCUUCUUCGAUUUCAUCACCUACAUACAAUUAGAAAAAAUAUAAAUAAUUUAGCAAUUUUUCGCAAAAGCUUAAUGGUUCCACAGUAGUCAUAUAUUACAAAGUUAUUACUCUAUAUCUAAGACAUACAUAUAAACUCAAUAAACUCAAAUAACAUUAAACUAUAUAUAUGGAGUAUGGACUAAUCUCAAACUUUUCCGCAACUUCAUUGUUGCCAUAGAUGCUUCAGCUUGGGGAGUUGGAAGUCUAUAAUCCCAAAAUGAAUGCAUGUAUCUCAUCCCAACUGGAGACGGUGUAAAGAAUACCAUACAUCCCCCUCCAACCAGAACAACUACCUUCAGCUAGUUCUAUCUGUUUUGUUACCAAACCAGAGAACAAAGGAACAAAAGAAAUACCAAACUGGUCGCCAUCAUGUAUGUGUAAUGUUCAUGACUUCUAGCUAAUAAUAGAAGAUAAUGGAAGCAAAGGAACCAUAUGGACAAUGACAACUAGUUCAAAUUAAGGUUUAGUUGUUGUUUUUACUGUUACAUUAAAUCUGGUGCCUGUCAGGAAUACUUUUAGUUCAGUAGAUACUCUCUACCCUACAAAGAUAAGGGUAAGGUCUGUCUCCUACACUUCCUAGACCCCACUAGUAGGGAUUACACUAGGUGUAUUGUUGUUGUUUGUAGAAAUAAUGAGAGACAAAGAUGGACUAGUGCAUACAACAUGGGUAUAGACUCAUAGCAGCCAACCUCUAUCGACACUCCAACAGUGUAUUCAGGACCUUCAAAGGCUCACAAAUCAACUGGAAAUCUUAAAGUGCAAUCACAUAUAUAGAGAGGCAAACUGUACAACUGACUUUCUAUCUAAAUGGUCCGACAUUCUACAACAAUUACACCUACCAGCAGCUGCCCAGGUUGGCCAAAGGAAGCCAUGUUUUAGAAAAAUUGGGUUUGACUAAUUUAGUGGUAUGAUACCCAAUAGGUUUAUCUACAAGCUAUAUACUUAAGAUAUAAAAAGAAUCUGCAUUUUCAUAUUUCAUGUAAUAAACAAUCACAAGAUGCCACUUCUGAUGAACAUAUCCUAGAAUAUAUAGUGAAGAAGUGCAAUUGAUUUAGAAUAGUAGAUGCAUCUCUCAUUUGCAUUAAACACAACAUAUUUCGGGAUUCAAAGAAUCUAUCAAAAAAUCUGCACUAUUAACAACCAUUUACAGUUAUUGUUCUUGCCUUAAGUAGUUGGUUCUUUCAUGUUACUCAUCCCACUAUGUCACCUAAAUUGGGAUUAAUGAUGUCUAUGUUUUUCCAAAUAUAAUUUACUUCCAGUCUUUAAGAGAGGAUAUGUAAGGUUGAAACAAGUUCCCCACUUAAAUUUUAUGGUAUGCAUAACUAGUCUUUGUAAACAGGUUGGACUUGGGAGCAACUUUGGCUCAUGAAAUGAUGCACACUUGGAUGAAGAUUCAAGGUGCUUUCCAGCUUUCUACUAUAAUCUAUAGUUGGUUUUGUCUAAUUUAAACUACAAAUAAUGGAAAAUAAACUAGUGAACAGCAUUCCUAAUAAAUCUGUCUUUUUCUCUACGAUAUAUAAGGUAUGAGGGGCUGUCCCUAAACAUCGCAGAAGGUAUUUGUGAAGUUAUAGCUCACAAGUGGAUAGAAUGGCAAUCUUUUACUGGUGAUGAAAACAUAAGAAGGUACAAGUGAACAAGCUCAGUUCUUUAGAAAUCUGAAAGAGUUUCUGAAAGAUGGAAUUGAAAAAAGCCAUUCAAGCAGACUAUUCUAUGUGUAAAAUUCUUUUUGGAUAGGUUUAAGUUGUGUUGUUUCAACACAAUUUCACCACAAAUAAGCUCCACAAUUUAGUACAUGGCACUUCAAAAUAAAAAUGCAGUUUUCAGCACAUUCACAUUUUCAGAGCACAUUCAAAAUUUCUGCAGAUUUUGGCUAGGACUCUAAAAACUUCACAAUAAUAAUCUGUACAAUUCAGCAUAAUCUGCACAAAAAUAAUCUGCACAAUGCCCACAUCUGCAUUGAGCAGGCAAAGAAAGUCACCAACUGAACCUCCAACGUAAAUUGUACUAAACUAUAGUAACUCAUAGAAGGUCUUUGGUUUAACCCUCCAUAUCACCAUCAAUAGGAAAAUGAAGAAGAAGAGCAAAAAAAAGAGUCGCAAUAGAGAAAUAAACAAAGUCGCAACAGAGAAAGGAAAUAGAGUUGCAAGAGAAACAUAAAGAAGAAGAAGAAACACUCAAAACAUAGAAUUAGCGACACCAACCUUGCUCAGCCCCUUGAACAGAAGUAGGUUCGCUUGGUGAAGGAAUGGACAAUGCUGCUAGUAUGUUAGGAUCAAUUAAUCCCGCAUGCUUGAGUUGUGCAAUUACAUCUGCAAUAACUUCUUGUCGCACAGUUUUCUUUUGUUCCUCCAUUUGUUUCACCAUUUUCUGCAUCCUUUCUUGCAUUUGCUGCAUUCCAUCAGUUGUUGCAUUUAAAGUUGAUUCCGAAUUGCCAACUUUUUUUUUCAAAGUAUUCUUUGUAACUCCUACUCCAUAUAGUCUUAGGCGUCCCGGAUGUUCAGGAUCCAUGAUGGUUGAAAAUGCAUCAACAUACUGGUCAUUUGUGCUCAUUUGUUUUUCAAUUUCCUCCAUUUCAGCCUACAAAAGCAUAUCCAACAAACACAAUCUUAUAAAUUAAAAUUUAAAAUAAAUAACUGAUCUCAAUUAAAAAAUUGAAAAUAGACAGUACUCAUACAAUUUUACUAGUAGUAUUUUCAUUCGAAGCCUUGUACAAACGCCCGGGUUUUCUUGUUCUUGUAACCACAAAGAGAUCCUUAGAUGAUACUGUCUCCUUUUCUUUCUCCUAGUCACAUUGCAAUAUGUAUUAGAAAUUGUUUAAAUGCCAUGUUAAUACUAGACAAUAAAUAAGAGAACACACCAGCUUAUUACAGACUAAAGCGAAACUCUUUUUGCCAGCAGUGUGUGGAUUCAUCAGCUUUUUUCGAUUCUUAGUUUUUGUUUCAGACAUUUUCUGCAAAGAAGUGAAUCAAUAAUGUUAAUCGAAGGCAUAUUAGUGCUAUGUAGUGUACUAGACGAGGUCAUUAUCUCAAUAUUUAUUUUUCAACAAGUCCAACUGAAUAAAAAGAGCGAGUAAACAGAUUUGGAAGGCUGCAACAAUUAUCAAACUCACAACAUGAGCGAAUCAAUAAUGUGUCUUGUAAACAAGUUGUUUUAAUUGUGACUUCCACACCAAUGAAGAAAGAAGAAACAACAUAUUACAAUAGAAAAGAGAAAGUAAAAGAAAAGAUAAAGCAGCAGCAGCAACGAUAACACAAAAGAGAUCACGAAAUGAGUAAGCUGAAAAUUUGAUAUUCUAAACUACAUUUUUACCUUGAAUUUUUUCCAGACUUCCAAUAAUUGAGGAGCUCUCUAAAUUGACAUUCUGGAAUAUGACCAGGCCUGUUUUCCAUUCGAACUUUAUCAUUAUCAUAUGGAUCGUAAUAAGUCAUCUUCAAAUCACUUCUAUGUCUUCUCCAAGCCUCUCGAAUUGUUACCAUAGUCCAAUUGUACGCAACUUCAGGAAUAAUGUAUUUCUCCUAUAAUUUUGUGUCAUUCGCUUAGCCAAUAGAAGUAAAAUACUUUUACAAAUAAUUUAAUAUUGUAAACUACAAACCUUGGUAUAAUCCCAUAGAUCUUGUUUAGUGUCCAUGCUCCUCCAAUCUAAUAUAUCAAAUAGGCAAAGAGUCGCAUUUCUAGCCAAUGUUCCUAGGAAGCUGCUUAAUUCUAUGACAACAUCAUCAGUAGGACCAACAUGCUGAUUUUCCCUAUUCAGUAGGAUCAAUUUACGCUCUUUUCGAGCAUGUACAUUAUGCAUUUGCGUUCUACCUCUUUUAUUUUGAGUGGAAACGUCUUCAGCUAUAAGAAAAUACAAGAAAUAUAAUUAGAAAUCAAGGAUACAUUUAAUAAGUUUCUAAGCUUAUAUGUUACCUUGUUCUUCAGGUUGAUUAUCUGUUUGAGGAGUGACAGAAUUCAUUUGCACUUGAUCCACGGAAGGCUGCUCCUCGACAGGCUGAUCCUCGACAGGCUGCUCCUCGACAGGCUGCACCUCUACAGAUUGUCUAUUUGCUUCAGAUUGUGGUGCUAUUGGUUGUUGCACUUCAAGUAAUUUAAGCAAAUGUCCUUUCUCGCACUCUAUAGCUUGAACAAUUUCAUUUGUUGUCAAUAACCGCCAUUUCUUAUUUGCCAAGAAUGAUAGCGAUCCUGGUUUAGCGAAUGUCUUAUUUUUUGCUUUUUUGUUUCUUUUUGAAGGUUCUUGUUGACUCAUGACUAUUCAAACCUAUGUAAAAAUAGGGACUACAGAAGUUACAGAAGUUGUACUAUUCACCAAGGUCUUACCAAUAACAUUUUUUAUCUGUAAAAUUUUAAACCAAAUAUUUAACUCUAUUUAAUAAUCAUAUCAGUUUUAUGAAACAAAGAGCUGAAAACAAAAUGUACCCUUAAGUAGCAGCAAUAGCAACAACAUAUUAUCAAGAGCUUAGAAGAAAAUAAAUAUAAAACUAGUUUGAAAUCUAACUUUUGAAAGCCUGCUACUUAAUGACCUCAAUGGGAUUUCAAAGAAAUGACAGAAGUUGUAAAGAGAAGUAUUAGCAAAGAAAUAUUCAAAGAAUCAUAAUAAAGAGAUAAGAACCUGGUGUUUUGGACCUUAAUAAAGAGAUAAGAGCCUGGUGCUUUGCUGGUACACUGUGAUGUUGAAGUUUGCUCAGAGAAACUGCAGAAAGAAGAAUAAUGAAAAUGAAUAAGAGAGAAAAAGACUUAGCAAAAGUACUAAUCCCAAAACAAGAAAUGAAGGACCACAAAGAAAGAU